CAUCAGGAUCCUGGACUAACUGUCAAGAUUGUUUUGCAAGUAGAGGAAGUCCUCCAAGCUUUUCAAUGGAUACGUCUCUCAUUUUCCUUCUGCUGAAUUCAUUUCCACGCAUAAGUUUUUAGGAAAUUCGAAAAGAUAUCGUAUACAUUGAAGCGCAUGCUACUGCUUUAAUAAGAACCUCCAUUCCCCUUCAAGAUAACGUUUGCUGCUUUCAGCCCUUAAGUUUGGUAAGGACCUUUAUAUAUAUAUAUAUAUGGUUAAAGUAAGGACCUUAUCUUUGAUAUGCCUCAAAGUUAAUGUUUUCGAAAGCCCCCACAAAGAAGGGACACCCAAGUAGGCGUCCGAAUUAUUUGCCACCUCUAAGGUAGUCUCUUCUUGAAUCAACCUUUCGUUGUCCCUUUGGGAGUAUUCACACUAAAAACGUUGCUUGAUUUAUCAUAGUUGACCCUUCGUCCAGAAGCUGCACAAUAUUCUUGAAUCAAGUUAAUCAUUCUCCUACAAUUUAAUGAACUAGCUUCCAAAAAGAAUAGAAAUCGUUCGUGAAUAACAAAUGUGACACUACUGGAUAAUGACUACNNNNNNNNNNNNNNNNNNNNNNNNNNNNNNNNNNNNNNNNNNNNNNNNNNNNNNNNNNNNNNNNNNNNNNNNNNNNNNNNNNNNNNNNNNNNNNNNNNNNAACUCCUUUCAAUAUAUUCACCAUGAUCUUCGAUAUGAUUUAAUACUUAAAAUUAUAAGGAAUAAUUGACCUAAUUAAAUUAUGUCAUUAAUUCAAGACAUUUAGUUUUCAGAAGUAAAAUUAUCUCAAUCUCGUUCGAAAAUUUCCCUUCCCUAAAAAAAAAACUCUUAAUAGCUUCCAAAACAUCCUUUUUAAUAAUUUCCCAAUAAUUAUGAUAGAAAAUCCCGUUAAAAUCAUCCACGAAAAAAGAGAUUAAUUUAAUUGUUUUGUAUGCUUAACUUGUACAAUAUAAGUAAAAUAUUAUAAUUUUAUCUCCAAAUUCUCUCAACACAUCUUUCUGACCCUUGUUUAUAAUCUCAUUUGUAUCUAGCAGGAUAUCCAAUUUAAAAUUAAAUAAUUUUUUUUAUAAUUCUUUAAAUAUUAAAAAUAUUUUCCUCUAUUAUUAUUUUUUGUUGUUGGAGUAUUAAAUAUUAGCCUUAAAACCAUAAGGCAUGAACUAUUCCAAACAACCCUUAAAAAGAUAUGUAAAUUUUGUUUUUGAAUAUCAUUUUUACUUUUUUAGGUUUCAAAUUGGAUAGUGAAUUAUAUAUUUAUUUAUUCGAAACUCCUCUUAAAUUAAUAAGAGUGAAGUUUCUUAUUUAGUAUUGAUUGUUCCAUAAAAUAUUCAAAGUUUUCAAAGUUUUCAAAUAGAUUUAUUUUUUUAAGUGUAGUUAAUAACCUCAAUAAAAAUUAAACUUUAUAAGUGAUGAAUUUAUAUUAAAAAUUGUUUGAUAAAUUCAUAAAAUAUAAGUUUGGGUUCAUCUACUUUUACAUUUCUUUUACCUAUUUAAAUUAUUUCUUAAUUUUUCUUAUUUUUUAAAAAAUUAUUCUUAAUUUUUUAUACAGGAAAAAUAAUCGACGAGGAAAUGAAAAAGUUAGGAGAGAACAUGGUUCAACAUUGUGCAGGGCUUCCAUUAGCCAUUGUUGUAUUGGGAGGAAUUUUAGCUACAAAGAAUAAUUCAUUAAACGAAUGGCGAAAGAUAUCUGACAAUGUAAAAUCCUACUUGAAGAAGGGCAAAAAUCAAAGACUAGAGGAUGUGUUAGCAUUAAGUUAUGAUGAUUUGCCUCCCUAUCUAAGACCAUGUUUCCUCUAUCUAAGCCAUUUUCCGGAGGAUUAUAUGAUAGAUGUGGAUAGAUUGAUUCAAUUAUGGGUUGCUGAAGGUAUUGUGUCAUCAAAGCAAGAAGAAAGAGAUGGUGGGGAAAUUGUGGAAGAUGUGGCGGAAUCUUAUUUAAUGGAGCUUGUGGAAAGGUGCAUGAUUCAAGUACGAGAAAGAGAUGUGGCAACCUUAAAGGUCAAAACAAUUCAGAUGCAUGAUCUGAUGAGAGAUCUUUGCUUAUCAAAAGCAAAACAAGAAAAUCUUGUCUUCAUUGUUGAUCGACCGAAUGCAUCUUCGUUAUCUAUGAUUCGGAAGGUUCAUAGGGUUUCUGUGCAUGAGUUUUUUUUCAUACAAUGCAUUAAAAGUCCAAAUAUUUAGUCACUUUUGUUCUUCAAUGAGUUCUUUCCGAAGGAGGCAAUUGAAAAAUCUUUGCCCUUGAAAGUGUUGAAUUACGUUGAAGAACAUGAAGAUGAUGAUUGUAAUCCACUAUUUUGGAUUCUUAUAACUUUGGCACGUUCUACAGGACGUCAUAAAAUUCACGAAAUUUGUAGAUACAUGUUCAACAACUUCAAAUUGCUAAGAGUCCUAAACUAUGAGAUAAGAACAAGAAGAACACGUGAUCUUUUUGGAGGGUGGAAGUUACCCAGUGAUAUAGGUAAUCUCGUCCAUUUAAGAUUCUUGAGUCUAAGGAAUUUUGAGUUCCAACGGUCAAAGUUGCCAUCAUCUCUAGGCAACUUAAGGUGCUUGCAAACCUUGGAUUUAAGAGUUGAUGACAGAAUUCAUGUACCUAAUGUGAAAUGGAGGAUGGAGCAACUAAGACAUUUAUAUCUCCCUUUGAGAUGUAAAAGCAGAACUAAGUUGAAGUUGGGUACUUUGACAAAACUCCUAACACUUGUGAACUUCAAGACCAAGAAUUGUUAUCUGAAGGAUCUUAUCAACAUGACAAAUCUUAGAGAGUUGGGGAUAAAUUUGCCCUUCAAUAUUGAAAAUUUCAAUGAGAAGGAGUUGGGCGAGAAUCCACCCAUAAUCGGAAGUAAAUAUCUUCAUUCCUUGUCUAUUACCUAUGAAGAAGGACUGAAAAUAUUUACUUUAUUUUCUAUUGAUGUCAUUAUGAAAUCCUGGUCAAAAAUAGAUCCAAGACAUUUGGCCCACCUCCUUUCAAAUUGUACUAGUAUUUGCAAGUUGAGUAUAACAAGAGUGAUAAGUGAGUUACCAGAGUAUCACUACUUCUCUUCCCAUCUCGCUUACAUACGGUUGAUAUGUUGUAAGUUUGAGGAAGAUCCAAUGCCAACACUAGAGAAGCUGCCUAACUUAAGGAUUCUUGAACUCAAAUAUACUUCAGAAGGAAAGGAAAUGUUUUGCUCUGCUCAGGGUUUUCCUAAACUUGAGUCUCUAAUCCUUGCGGAGCUCUACAAAUUGGAGGAGUGGAAGGUGGAUGAAGGAGCCAUGCCUUCUCUUCAGCGAUUGGAGAUUGAGGAAUGUGGAAACUUGAAGAUGCUUCCAGAGGGAUUGAGGUUCAUUACAACCCUCAAAGAACUGAAGCUUGAAUUAAUGCCAAAGGCAUUCAAAGAUAGAUUAGAGGAAGGAGGAGAAGAUUUCUGCAAAGUCAAACAUGUUCCUUCUGUCAUAUUCCAAAAAUGUGGCUAAUAGAUUGAAUGAUAAUUGAGAGGUAAUUUCAUAACCUCUGGUUUAGGAAAUGAUUCCUACUUUCUUUGCUUCUUAUAUAUCUUUUGUUUUUGACAAUGUCUCACAUUCUCACUCACUUUGUCAACACACCAAUGAAUAAUUACAUUUAUUGAAAGUCAAAGGAAGUGAGACAUUGAUAUUUUUAGUUUUUCUUUUCAGGUAAAGACGCCAUUUUUUCACCUGCUACUGCUAUUCACGGGAUCAAAUCUAGAUUUAAAACUCCUAUUAUAAGUGGCAUGUGAAAGUGUGUUAUAUGGUGAGAUUUGGAAUUAUGUUCUCUCUUGUAUAUAUCUGUGGUUGUUGACUGUUUGUUGUUUUCUUCAAAUUACAAUAAAACGGUUGCAAGAUAUGGUAUUGGAAGAAUGGGAGGUGUCUGGAUUAGCAAGGUACCAAACUCCUCCUCCAUUUCAAUUUCCUUCAAUCUAAUUUAAUUACACGUUCAUUUUUGUCUUUUAAAACAUAAAAUUGCAGAUAAGGAGACGUCACUGACCUUUGUUCCCACAUAGCUUUGGUUUGCGCCUUUGCGGUGACCAUUCCUAUAUUUAUUUGUUAGCUUUGCUUUCUCUGCUUGAGUCUUUCUCUUUUUUCUUUUUUCUUUUUUUUAUAUGCACUUAAUGUAAUAUUAGAAGCCAAGGCAGGACCAUGCUUUUCUAUUGUAAAAUUCAUCACUUUGUUGUCUAUGUUCAUUUCUACUUUUCAUUUGAUAUAUAUUUGAAUAUGGAGAAUAUAAUCUUUUUAAUAUAUACAUAUUUUAGAAAAAAAAUGAAUAUAUGUAUGUUUGACAUAUUUCCCGUUUCAACAUAUUUCCUUAUUUUAUGCAAGUCAAUUGGCAUUUAACCAAAUAAAUUUAAUUGCUUCAGUUUGAGUUAAAAUUAAAAUUUCAAAAUUAAAAAAAAAAUACAAAAAAUAAAGUUGACAAAUUCAAAAAUAUACAUAUUAAAAUUGAUCAAAUUAAAAGUGCACUGGCUAACCUUAAUUUUUUUGUUAAUCUUUCUUUUCGAUUAAUUAAAUGUCCAUGACGUAUAUUAUAUAUCUUAAUAUAUAAAUAUUUUUAAAAAAAUUAAAUAUAUGUAGGUUGGACACAUAUUCAAGUUUGAUAUUCGUCUUAAAUUCGUGCAAUACGGUUAAAUAUUGGUGAAUUAGUAGUUGAUGAAGUAUUAUAUACAUUCUUGGAAUAUUGCUCUAUUCAACGAAUUUAUUUCAGCUCCAUAUGCUUAAAACGCCUCCCAUUUCUAACAUAUUUCCUCAUUUUGGGUAACUCGAUUGGUAUACAAUGUAGUCUUUUUCAUUGUUUAGUAUCCUAAUCCUUAACUCAAUAAUCUUUGUUACAAUAGGGUUUAAUGAUUGCAAUUCAUCUCGAUGCUUCCGAAGCAAAAAAAAAAAAAAUCAAAUUUUACCGGUUAAUUACAUGUCAACACAUAUAAUCCACGAUAUGUUUAUCUGAAAGAUUAAAUAAGAUUAACUAAAUCACAAAGAAAAUAAACGAGUAAACAUAAUCUAGAAAUUCCAAAUUACAUUAUCUAACAAAAAUUCAAUAAGAAAUAAAUGGUUGCAUUUCAUUCUUUAGGGAUUUGCUCUUAUAUCUUCCAACAAUAGCUUGAUGAUAAUAAGCUGAAAAAGAAAAGGAGUCCAAGGGAAUUGAAGAUUCUUAAUUCAGCUAGCUUAAUUGAUUGAAUACUUCAAAUACACUUAAUUAAUACCAAUUAUAUUUAUCAAUAAAUCUAAAAUUUGAAUCCCUCAUUUGCAACCUAUUUUGUAAAAACUGCCAAAUGAAAUCAAAUUAUCUUGUUUCAAUUCUCUUCAAAUUUUAGUUUACAACUUCUAUUUUUGGGUUUCCAUUUGUUUCUACUUUUAAAGCAAACAUUGAUUCAAGAAAUAUUUAUUUCAUUUGGCUUAUUUUCUUUUCUAUUUUUAUGCUAUUCAGAUUCGAUGAAAUAUUGAACAUAAUAUGUGUGCAAGUUAGAUGUCCGAGUCUUGAAAUGUAAGAUCGAAACGGGAGAAAUAUCCUAAAACCCGAUGCUUAAAGAUUUAUAAAAUUUAGUAUAAUCAUGUUGUUUUCAUUAUUAUAAAACUCAAUGUUAAAAUGUCUAUGAUUUGAAUUAUGAUACAAGAGAAAAAUAGCUAACUAUUUUAAGUUCAAGGUGUGAGAAAACCUCAAUAUCUAAGAUAUGAAUGUUGUAAAGUACCACUCAAUCACAGCCACAUUUGUUAGUAUGACUACUUUGGAUGAAAAGUUCUAUUCCAAGUUAUAUAUACACACAGAAAUACACAUGAAGUGGAUUAAUGGUGUAUUAUUAAGUAAAGGAAAACGGUUCUAACUAAAAGAAAGAGUUGAAAUCUUGAACCUCCAAAUAUUGGGUAACCGCUGGUGUUAAAAAGUGCAUAAAGGUCCGCGCUUAUCUACAAGAAAUAAUGGAGGAAUCGCAUACGCUGUUUAUAUUCAUUUUUUUUGCUCCACAAGCAAUCCGAAACCAUAAACAAAGGAGUACUUUUUUGCCUUUUUUAAAUGGUUUUCUUGUUUCUUUUCCGCUUUUCAAAUUCUUCAUUCAAUUCAAGUUCAAGAAACCAUACUAAAUAUAUAUAUAUGUUUAUAUUCGCUUUUCUUGCUACACAAGCAAGCCAAAACCAUAAACAAAGGCAUGCAUUUUAUUUCCUUUUUUAAUGGUUUUCUUGAUUCUUUGUUGUUUUUAAAAUUCUUCAUUCAAUUCAAGUUCAAGAAACCAUACUAAAAUAUAUAUUUAUAUUCGCUUUUUUUGCUACACAAGCAAGCUGAAACCAUAAACAAAGGCAUACAUUUUUUCCUUUUUUAAAUGCAUUUUUUUUUUUGUUUCUUUGUUGUUUUUUAGAUUCUUCAUUCAAUUCAAGUUCAAGAAAUCAUACUAAUUAUAUAUGUUUAUAUUCACUUUUCUUGCUACAUAAGCAAGCCGAAACUAUAAACAAAGGCAUACCUUUUUUUCCCCUUUUUAUCUUGCUGCUUUUUAGAUUUUUCAUUCAAUUCAAGUUUAAGAAAUCAUACUAUAUAUAUACCAUACUAUAUAUAUAUAUAUGUUUAUAUUCACUUUUCUUGCUACACAAGUCAACUGAAACCAUAAACAAAGGCAUAACUUUUUCGCUUUUUUUAAAAUGAUUUUUUUUCUUUGCUACUUUUUUAAAUUUUUAUUCAAUUUAAGUUUAAAAAACCCUACUAAAUAUAUAUAUAUAUAUAUAUAUAUUAAGAGAGAGACAUCAUCAUCCUCAAGGAGUAAGUGGUUAAGCAUGAACUUGAUGGGAAGGCCACAAGUCGGUGGUGGUCAAAUCAUGAGUUGAUUAUGAUUAGUUUCAUGUUAUGGAAAAAAGAUGCUAGUUAAAAUUAGUUACUUGACCGUUGCAUUUUGAGGUUGAGAGUUUAAUGAAACGAUACGCUUUGAUGUUUAAUGAAAACGGUGCGUAUUGAAAGUUUGAUACAACUAAUCGAAUAACAAGCCUGUAACAACUUUGUAACUACCAAUUCCUCGCUUUAAAAAAAUAUUCCAAAUAUGUUUUCUCACCUUAUCAUUUUUGUUAUUUUUCAAGCCCCCUUACCAUUUUAUAUUUUUAAUGGGUAUAUUAUAAAAAUAGUCACCUAGGUAUUGCUUUCAUUCUAUUUUAUUCACUAAGUUAUUAAUUUUUUCGAUUUAAUUACUAAAUUUUUUUAAAUUAAAUAUUUUGAUCACUCUCCCAUUAGUUAUCAUUAGAUAAGUGAUAGGAAGUUAAUGUGGGCUUUUUUUAUUAGUCUAAUAACAAAUUUAGUCAUCUAAUGUUUACACAUUCUAUUAAAUUGAUUUUAAAUAUAAAAUGUUCAAUAGCUUUAAACCUAAAUGUUUACCAAAUCUAUUGUUAUAGUUCAAAUCCUAAAAAUUUCAAUAAAUUUAAUCCUCAAAAUUUGUAAAUUUAAUUUUAAUUCUAACUCAUGGAUGAAUUAAGCAAAUUAAAUCAAAUCAAAUCAAUCGAACAAAGAAUUUAAUUAAAAAGAAAUUCUUCACAUGCAUCAAGGAGGGACUUCCUCUGGUGGUAUCAAGGGGAUUGAUAGAAACAGCUCAGGCUCGAACAAGAACUUCACUGGGCUUAAGAUCAGGAACAGACACAUCGGAUCAAAGCUGCAACACCUCAGGUCCACCGAACCGAGGCAGCAACACCGCCCUGCAACUGUUGGCAUAGCACCGAAUUGAACCCACUUUCAAUGAUAUGAUAACUCCAUAAAGGGUUUGGGUUUUAAGCUUUGAAAGUUCCCCUUUUUCUUCUCAAAUUUUCUGAACUUCAGCUCCUUCCUUUUGUUAAAUGAAGGAAAAGCAAAGGAGAGACACCGAAGUGUUUUAAUCCACAUAGAAAAUAGUGAUUAUGUGACUUGUGAGUGUUGGCCUGGGGUCUUGGAAGAAGAAGAUGAAUAUUGCAUAAUCGAUUUUUAAUUGCUUACUACAUUCAUAAUUAAAUAAAUAAAAAUUUCUAACCUUAUCAAUUAAAUCAAGUUAGAAUGUUCAACUUGAUUUUUGUUUGUUAUAAGGAUCAUAUAUUAUAAAACUUAAUUUUAUUUUAAUAAUUAUAUAAUAUUAUUUUUAAUUAUAUCAUCUGAUACCAUCUUGAGGGCUAAAUUUAGAAUUAAAAUUAAAUUGACAAAUUUUAGAAAUUUUGAGCUUAAAUUUAUUUUUAUUUUUAGGAAUUUGAAAUAAAAUGAGAAAUUUUGUAAAUAUUGAGGAUUAAAUUUGUUGGAAAUUUUAUAUUUAGAAUCAAAUGGUAGAAUGUCUAAACAUUAGGGGGCUAAAUUUAUUAUUAGACCAAUAAAAACAAGUUCAUAUCAAUUUCCCGUCACUCAUCUAAUUGCAACUAAUGAGGAAGUGAUGAAAAUAUUUAACUUCUAAAAAUUUAAUGACUAAAUAAAAAAAUUAACAUUUAAGUGAUCAAAAUAGAAUGAAAUCAAUAAUUUGAUGAGCAUUUUUGUACUGUACCCUAUCUUAAUCCAUCUCACAACCAAAUUUCUCCGUCUUUGCCUAAGUUCUGUGUCUUUGUCAAAUUUUAAUAGAAUUAACAUUUUUAUUUAAAAAAUAUCUUUAAUCGUUUAAUAUAUUUUUAAUAAGUAAAUGUUAAUUCCGUUAAGGGUCAGUUUGUUUACACGUAAAAAGUUAAAAAUAAAAAUAUUGAGUUCUAUAAUAUGAGUCUAUUGAACCGAUUCAAUCAUAAAUUUUAUUAUUAUUGGUUUAUAUAAUGGUUUGAUUUUGAAAAUAUUUGGUUUAACAUUUAGUCAUCCCUUUGAUCAAUUUUAAAUUUUAGAAAUAAUUUUGUUUUUUGUUUACAUUUAAAUGUACAGUUUCUAAUGCAUAUGUGUUACAUUUGAUUUCAAGCCAUUAAUCCUUAAUUACUUUUUAAAAUAAUAGUUUCUUUUAGUUUUUAAAUAAUGUAUAAAUUUAUAAUUAUAUAAGAAAGUAAACUAUAAUAUUAAAUUUUUAAAAAUUAAGUAAAACAACAUGCAAUAAUUUUCAUAAUAAUUAAUGAUAAAUAAGAAAAAUAUUCACAAUUAUAAAACAAACCGUUUAAGAGUAUAUAAACUACUUAUACAAAAUUCUUUUAAAUCAAAGAUGAAAUUAUAUAUAUAUAAAUAACAAAUGAAAUUAUAUAUACAAAUUUAUAAGUGAAAAAUAUACAUAAUUAUAUUCAUAAAAAGUACAUAUGACAAUAUACAAACAAGGCUAUAAAGUAAUUCAUAGGAACAUGGCUUUCUUGUUAGUAUUCUCAUUCUUUUUUUAACAUACCUUUCUUGCUUGUGUUCUCAUUCUAUUAUGAAUAUACCUUUCUUGUUCGUAUUCUCGUUCUAUUGAUGAUUAAUGUUGCUUUAUAAUUGUUUAUAAAUUUAAUAGAACUAUAUAUUACUACUAAAAGUAUAAAAGGGCAAUGAUUUGCAAUUGUUUUUAUAAUUAAGUACUGGUUCUUGCAAUUGUUUUCCCAGCAAGAUUGCGGCACUCACAUCUUGAAAUCCAAAUUCAAGAUUUUAAAGAAUUUUCUGAGCUCGAUAGCUAUUAUGGCUUGGUCUGCUGUGACAUCUGCAGUGACAACAAUUGGCAACCUGCUAACUCAGGAAGCCAUAUACCUAUGGGGCGUGGAGGAGCAAGUUGAUCGUCUGCAAACAGAGCUCAAAUGGAUGCAAAGCUCCUUAAUGGUGGCAGAGACAAAACAAUCAACGGAUGAGAGGAUUCGUCUUUGGGUUGCUGAAAUCAGAGAGCUUGCUUAUGAUGCUGAGGAUAUUGUUGAGGAAUUUGCUCUCAAGAUUGGAUCCAAAAACAAAGGUGGCCUUCCGAGUUGUAUUAAAAGAUCAGCCUGCUGUUUGAAAGAGGGAUGGGUGCUCCAUGAAACCAGGUCAAAGAUCGAGAAAAUCAUAGAAAGAGUCAGCGACUUGGUCCGACGACUACAGGCCUACGGCGUAAAGGAAUUAAAUCCCAGAGGAGAAGGAUCAAGUUUUUCAACUGAAAUACGAGAAUCAAGGCGGCCUUAUCCACAUAUUAUGGAUGAUAAUAUUGUUGGACUAGUUGAUGAUACCAAGGGAUUGGUCGAAGUUCUUACGAAGGAAAGUGGAUGCAAGGUUGUUACAAUAUGGGGCAUGGGUGGUCUGGGAAAGACCACUCUCGCCAAGAAAAUAUAUCACCAUGGUGAGGUUAUUGAUUAUUUCGAUCACUUGGCUUUUGUAUAUGUUUCUCAACCAUGCCGGAAAAGAAAUGUUUGGGAAGACAUUUUAUCUGGUUUCAAAACUUUAGAUAAAGAGGACAGGAAGAUAACAGAUGCAGAAUUAGCAGGGAAGUUGAGUAAAACUUUGAAGGAUAAAAAGUGUCUGGUGAUACUUGAUGAUGUUUGGACCAGUGAAGCUUGGGAUAGUCUAAAACCUGCCUUUCCAGUUGAUAGCAAAAGCAAGAUAUUGCUCACCUCUAGAAACAGGGGGAUAGUUUCAUAUGCUGACAUAAAAGGUAAAAUUUUCUUAAUUAGGUAAAAUUGAAUACUCUUAUUCCUUUGAUGGAAAAUAACCAUGUAUAUUAUUUCAGAGUUGAAGUGCCUAAACGAUGAAGAAAGUUGGGAAUUGUUUCAAAAGAUUGUAUUUCCUCAAACAGGUAAAUAUACAUAUAGCAAAAUUCUUGUUAUACGCUAAAUUUAUUUUUCAUUUUUAAUUUUUUUGACAAUAAUUAAAUUUAAAAAUAUAUAAAAUCUAUUUUAUUUAAAAAUUUCAAAACCUUAAUAUGAAAUAAAUAAAAGAAAUCAAGGCUUUGUAGUUUAUCAGCUAAUGGUACACGCAAGUAAAUAUAAUUAAUAGGUAAAUUCAUUAUCUUUUAUAUUAUAUAUUUUUAAUAACUUUGCUAUUAGUUACCGAGAAUAAAUUAUAUUAGGAUCAUCUUAAAAAAAUAUAAAUUUUAGGCACCAAUAAAAUAAUGUUACAUCGUUAAAUUUUUAAGAUAACAAAGAAUUAUUAUACACUCAUUUAUAUUUAAUAUUUUCUCCAACUUAAUUUAACUUUAAUUAAAUUAUUUAAAAUAAUUAAUUUUUUAAAUUAUAGACAAACAUCUUUUCUUCUUUUACAAAAUUUAAUCAUUUUUUUAUAAGUUAAUAUUUUUUUUAUUUUUGUGCAACCAUUUUUUAAAAAAAUAGUAAUUUUUGUGCAAUAUUUUUCAUGUCAUUGACACAUAAUUUUGAUAAUUAUUUUAUCCUGAACCCAAAACCCCGAACCUUGAACUCGAACCCUAAACCCUGAACCUAAACCUUGAGCCCUGAAUCUCAUAAUUUAAGGUUUGGAUUCGAGAUUUAAAGCUCAGAAUUCGAAGUUCAAGUUUAAAGUUUAAGGGUUCAGGUGGGUUACGAGUUUAGGAUUCAUGGUUCAAGGGUUUGGGGUUGCAAGUUUGGAGUUUUAUGUUUUGGAUCUAGGUUUAGAAUUAUAGAUUUAGGGUUCAGGUAAAAAAUUUACCAAAAUUAUGUGUCAAUGACAUGGAAAAAAUUGUUGAAAUGUUAUUAAAUAAUUGGAAAGGGACCAUGAAUAAUGUGGUCAGAAGAGUCCAUAAAAUAAUUUCUCUAUGGAUGAGUGUAUAAUAAUUUAUGUCUUUAAAAUUUGAUGAUGUGACAAAAAAAAUUUAAUUUUUAGGAUCUUCCUAAUGUAAGUUAUUACCUUAUCUUAAUUAUUGGACUAUAUGCUUGUUUAGUUUCUUAAGCACUUUCAUGGUAUUCUUUUAUACGUUUAUCCUGGAUCCUUGCAUCAGAAAGAUUGAGGUGCAGGUAAACCAUUCUUAUCAAGAGUAAAGCCUAAGAAAGAUGUAGUUGAUUCGAACAACUAGCACAUCUCUUUAUGACCCUAUUUAGCAAACCAAUCCACUAACCUAUUGGCUUCUCGUCUGAUAACAUUGACUUUCAAAGAAGAAAGUUGCAUGACCAGCAUAUCAAAAACCUAAAGGACUAGCCUUAAUCUCCAUCUUCGAUCUUGACUUUUCUUCUUAAUGUUAGAAGCAAUAGUCUGGGAGUUAGUCUUGAUUGUCACAUUGGUCCAUUUGUUCUUCAUAGUUAAUUCAAUCCAUCCAACCAUAGCUUUAGCCUCGACAACCUUACAUGAAUCCACUUAAUCCUUUUACCAAUCCCAUCCAGAAUCUUCCCACUUAAAUUUCUGCCUAUUUCUCUAAUACCGGCACAAGCUAUUAAGGUGUCAAAUGCCCCAUCACAAUUAACUUUAACCCAACCUUCUGGUGAUUUCUCCCAAAUAUCAGCACAAGUAUUUGACUUCCUAGUUCGAUCAGAGUUAUUGUUUGAACAGAGGAUCCAUUGAGCAGAUAAGAAUUCAUUCAUGGAGCAAUUAAUCCUUCGAAUAAUUCUCUCCAAACCAAGUUUCACACCUCCGAUUGUAACCUCACACCUAGCUUUCCAGAUGUGGUAACAAGUGAAAACAAUUCUAACUUGAAAAUCCUCCCUCAUACAAGGCAUUUGUAACAACUUAGAGAACCAUCUGUCAAAUGAUUGAGUUUGAUCAUUUAGCCCUUAAAGACCAAAACAAGCAUCAUACUAUAUUCCCCUAACCCUAUUACAACUAAGAAUAAUAUGUUCAAAGUCUCAUCUUCAAUACCACAUAAACAACAAAUUGUGUUCGAAAAACAUUUUCUUUUCCUCGGAUUAAAACGAGAUGGAAUAGCAUUAUGACACAAUUUCCAUAAGAAAAUUUUAAUUUUUUUCAGUACCUGUAAGCUCCAAAUAGCUUUCUGAGUGCUCCUAUCAAUUAAGUGAGAGCUGGAAGAUUGUAAAGAAGACUCAUUUCCAUAGUGCUUUCUCAUCUCCUUAUACCCUGACUUCAUCAAAUAUUGACCAACAGCUGUAAACGGCCACACCAAUUUAUCUUGUUCAUCUGUUUCAUGAACGGGAACUGUUGGAAAUUGCCAAUCAUUCUGCUGUUACAUUUUUUGGUUGAAGUGCAUGCAGAAAAAAAAUGUUAGAAAUUUGCCAACCAUGCUGCUGUUACAUUUUUUGGUUGAAGUGCAUGCAGCUUGAUGACAUGUUGCAUGCACUUCAACCAAAAAAAUGUAACAGCAACAUGGUUGGCCAAUUUCCAACACUCCUCCUUGGACUCUAUGCUGCAAAUACCAGUCAUUCAUUAAGUUUUUGAACUUGGCAGUCCUUAGAUGCUUUGUUUCAAGCUAACUCUUCUCAAGCAAUUCAUUUUCAACAUUGGCUUCAUUCUCAACCAAAUCUGACUUACACACUUGACUAUACCACUCUUUUGUGCCAAAGAUUUGUCCAUCAAAUGGAGUAUUCUCCUCUUUCACAGCCUUGGUUGACAACUUGCCUUUAAACUCAUCUUUUCUUUCUUGCCUUGUCCCUUUACUCAUUACAAUCCUGUUUCUUCUUGCACAAACAGUUCAUGAGUAUAGUUUGCUUGCCUUCAGUCUGCCAUUUUGGCUUGCACCUACUCGAGCUUGCAUUUAAACUGUUUGCCACUUUGGCUUGCAAUUCGAUAAGCUCACACUUUGACAAGCUCACACUUUGCUUACUGUCUUCAACAGGCUCGCAACUUUACAACUCGCAUUGAGCUUCCACAUGUUGCUGAGCUCACACCCAAAGUUAAUGAUUUCGAAAGCCCCCACAAAGAAGGGACACCCAAGUAGACGUCCGCAUUAUUUACCACCUCUAUGUUAGUCUCUUCUUGAAUCAACCUUUCGUUGUCCCUUCGGGAGUAUUCACACUAAAAACGUUGCUUGAUUUAUCAUAAUUGACCCUUCGUCUAGAAGUUGCACAAUAUUCUUGAAUCAAGUUAAUCAUUCUCCUACAAUUUAACGAACUCACUUCCAAAAAGAAUAGAAAUCGUUCGUGAAUAACAAAUGUGACACUACUGGAUAAUAACUACUAAGGCUAAUCCAAGAAAUAAAACUAGACUCGACUCUAUUAAUAAUCACCACCCCUAGAACUCCUUUCAAUAUAUUCACCAUGAUCUUCGAUAUGAUUUAAUACUUAAAAUUACACAGACUAAUUGACCUAAAUUAUGUCAUUAAUUCAAAACAUUUAGUUUUCAGAAUUAAAAUUAUCUCAAUCUCAUUUGAAAAUUUCCCUUCCCUAAAAAAAAAAACUCUUAAUAGCUUCCAAAACAUCCUUUUUAAUAAUUUCCCAAUAAUUAUGAUAAAAAUUCUGCUAAAAUAUUCGCAAAAAAAAGAUAUUAAUUUAAUUGUUUUGUAUGCUUAACUUGUACAAUAUAAGUAAAAUCUUAUAAUUUUAUCUCCAAAUUCUCUUAACACAUCUUUCUGACCCUUAUUUAUAAUCUCAUUUGUAUCUAAGAGGAUAUUCAAUUUAAAAUUAAAUAAUCUUUCUUAUAUAAUUCUUUAAACAUUAAAAGUAUUUUCCUCUAUUUUUUUUUUUUUGGUUGGAGUAUUAAAUAUUAGCCUUAAAACCAUAAGGCAUGAACUAUUCCAAACAACCCUUAAAAAGAUAUGUAAAUUUUGUUUUUGAAUAUAUCAUUCUUACUUUUUUAGAUUUCAAAUUGGAUAGUGAAUUAUAUAUUUAUUUAUUUGAAACUCCUCUUAAAUUAAUGAGAGUGAAGUUUCUUAUUUAGAAUUGAUUGUUCUAUAAAGUAUUCAAAUUUUUCAAAUAGAUUUAUUUUUUCAAGUGUAGUUAAUAACCGCAAUAAAAACUAAAUUUUAUAAGUGAUGAAUUUAUAUUAAAAAUUGUUUGAUAAAUUCAUAAAAUAUAAGUUUGGAUUCAUCUACUUUUACAUUUUUUUUACCUAUUUAAAUUAGUUCUUAAUUUUCCUUAUUUUUAAAAAAUUUAUUCUUAAUUUUUUAUACAGAAAAUAUAAUCGACGUGGAAAUGAAAAAGUUAGGAGAGAAUAUGGUUAAACAUUGUGCAGGGCUUCCAUUAGCCAUUGUUGUAUUGGGAGGAAUUUUGGCUACAAAGAAUAAUUCAUUAAAUGAAUGGCGAAAGAUAUCUGACAAUAUAAAAUCAUACUUGAAGAAAGGCAAAAAUCAAAGACCAGAGGAUGUGUUAACAUUAAGUUAUGAUGAUUUGCCUCCCUAUCUAAGACCAUGUUUCCUCUAUCUAAGCCAUUUUCCGGAGGAUUAUAUGAUAGAUGUGGAUAGAUUGAUUCGAUUAUGGGUUGCUGAAGGUAUUGUGUCAUCAAAGCAAGAAGAAAGAGAUGAUGGGGAAAUUGCGGAAGAUGUGGCGGAAUCUUAUUUAAUGGAGCUUGUGGAAAGGUGCAUGAUUCAAGUACGAGAAAGAGAUGUGGCAACCUUAAAGGUCAAAACAAUUCAGAUGCAUGAUCUGAUGAGAGAUCUUUGCUUAUCAAAGGCAAAACAAGAAAAUUUUGUCUUCAUUGUUGAUCAAUCAAAUGCAUCUUCAUUAUCUAUGAUUCGGAACGUUCGAAGGGUUUCUGUGCAUGAGUUUUUUUCAUACAAUGCAUUAAAAGUCCAAAUAUUCGGUCACUUUUGUUCUUCAAUGAGUUUUUUCCGGAGGAGGCAUUAGAAAAAUCUUUGCCCUUGGAAGUGUUGAAUUACGUUGAAGAACAUGAAGAUGAAGUUUGUAAUCCACUUGUUUGGAUUCUUAUGAUUUCGCGAACUGGUACGAGCUUUCUUAAAGCUCGGGGAAUUUGGAGAUACAUGUUCAACAACUUCAAAUUGCUAAGAGCCCUAAACUAUGAGAGAACAACAUGUGAUCGUUUUGUAGGGUUUAAGUUACCCAGUGAUAUAGGUAAUCUCAUCCAUUUAAGAUUCUUGAGUCUAAAGGAUCUUGAGUUCACAUGGCCAAAGUUGCCAUCAUCUCUAGGCAACUUAAGGUGCUUGCAAACCUUGGAUUUAAGAGUUGAUAGUUACAAAAUUCAUGUACCUAAUGUGAUAUGGAGGAUGGAGCAACUAAGACAUUUAUAUCUCCCUUGGAGAUGUAAAAGCAGAACUAAGUUGAAGUUGGGUACUUUGAGAAAACUCCUAACACUUGUGAACUUCAACACCAAGAAUUGUUAUCUGAAGGAUCUUAUCAACAUGACAAAUCUUAGAGAGUUGGGGAUAAAUUUACCCUUCAAUUUUGAAAAUUUCAAUGAGAAGGAGUUGGGCGAGAAUCCAUUCAUAAUCGGAAGCAAAUAUCUUCAUUCCUUGUCUAUUAUUACCCGUAGGCUAAAGAUAUCAAUAGAUCCAAGACAUUUGGCCCACCUCCUUUCAACUUGUACAAGUAUUUGCAAGUUGAGUAUAGCAGCAGAGAUAAGUAAGUUACCAGAGUAUCACUACUUCUCUUCACAUCUCACUUACAUACGGUUGAGAUGGUGCAAGUUUGAGGAAGAUCCAAUGCCAACACUAGAGAAGCUGCCUAACUUAAGGAUUCUUGAAUUCGAAUGUUCUUUGAAAGGAAAGUAAAUGUUUUGCUCUGCUCAGGGUUUUCCUAAACUUGAGUCUCUAAUCCUUGCGGAGGUCGACAAUUUGGAGGAAUGGGAGGUGGAUGACGGAGCCAUGCCUUCUCUUCAGCGAUUGGAUAUCAGGCAUUGCCCAAGCUUGAAGAUGCUUCCAGAGGGAUUGAGCUCCAUUACAACCCUCAAAGAACUGAAGAUUGAAUCAAUGCCAAAGGCAUUCAAAGAAAGAUUGGAGAAAGGAGGAGAAGAUUUCUACAUAGUCAAAGAUGUUCCUUCUAUCAUACUCCAAUACUGUGGCUAAUAAAUUGAAUGAUAAUUGAGAGGUAAUUUCAUAACCUCUAGUUUAGGAAAUGAUUCCUACUUUCUUUGCUUCUUAUAUAUCUUCCGUUUUUGACAAUGUCUCACAUUCUCACUCAAUUUGUCAACACACCAAUGAAUAAUUACAUUUAUUAAAAGUCAAAGGAAGUCAUCUUUUUAGUUUUGCUUUUCAGGUAAAGACGCCAUUUUUUCACCUACUACUAUAAUGGCGUGUGAAAGUGUGUUAUAUGGUGAGAUUUGGAAUUAUCUUCUCUCUUGUAUAUAUUGUUGGAACAUUUUCAAAUAUUUAUAGUAUCCCAAUAACUAUAAAUGAAUGGGUGUAAUUAAUCAAAAGAUAAAUCUUUUGGUCAUUGGUCAAAAGUUAUAUCAUUUGAUUUUUUAAAAAAGAAUUAUAAUUAUUCAAAAAAUAUUAUUUGAAUAGUUACAAAAUUAAAGGAAUAAUUAUUAUUAUUUAUUUAUUCAUAAAGACACCUAUUGAAAGAUGUCUCUAUGAAGAGACAUGAAAAUUCCUAUAAAUAGGAAUGGGAUUUCAUUUGGAAAUCAUAUCAACAAAUUCUAAUAUUAUUUCUUCUCUUCCUUCAUUUUCUAAUAUUAUUAGAUUAUUCUAUAAAGUAUUCCUGCAGAAAUUCUUUGUAGAAAUUGAGUUUUUGUUACACAUUACUCAGUGCAUAGUGGACUAUUCUCGUCAGUGCAAAACACAAAUAGUCAUUGGCUUCAUUGUAUCCUCGAGGUUAAUUUGCUUGGAACUCAUUUGCACACUGAAGAUAAGUGGGGGCGAAUAUAACCUUAAUGAUAGUGGCUUGAUACACGCCUUGGAGCCUUGUCCUAUUUCUUCUUUUUCUUUUCGAGUUCCGAUCGUGUGUUCGAGAUUUUCCUUACCGGAGUUUUGUAAUAACAUAUAUCUAUGGUUGUUGACUGUUUGUUGUUUUCUUCAAAGUACAAUAAAACGGUUGCAAGAUAAGGUAUUGGAAGAAUGGGAGGUGUCUGGAUUAGCAAGGUACCAAAUAAGGAGACGUCAUAAAACAUAACAUUGCAGAUAAGGAGACAUCACUGACCUUUGUUCCCACAUAGCUUUGGUUUGCGGUGACCAUUCCUAUAUUUAUUUGUUAGCUUUGCUUUCUCUUUCUUUUUUUUCCCUUAAGUCUGCUUGAGUCUUUUUCUUUUUUUAUAUGUACUUAAUGUAAUAGUAGAAGCCAAGGCAGGACCAUGCUUUUCUAUUGUAAAAUUCAUCACUUCGUUAUUUUAUAUUUGUAUGUUGACACAUUUCCCGUUUCAACAUAUUUCCUUAUUUUAUGCAAGUCGAUUGGUAUUCAUCAUAAAAAUUACGAUAUCAUAUCAAGUUUAAUGGUUACACUUCCAAAACAAAAAAUAGGAAAAAUUAAAUCUUACCAACUAAUAACACUUUCAAAUUACACUGUCUUACAAAAAAAAAAAAAAAAAAGAAGAAGAUACAAUUUGAAUUUUUUUAUCAAAUGGUUUAGCAAGCUAUGCUUUAUAAAAGAGGCAAAGGAAUCCAAGGGAAUCAAAGAUUCCAAAAUCGAUAUUUAGAUUCAAGAUUUUGUAUCCCCAUGCUUUGCUUCUUAUAUCUACCAACAAUAUCUUGAUGAUAACAAACUAAAAAAAACUAUUCAAGGGAAUCGAAGAUUUCAAAUCCAACAUAAUUGAUUGAAAAUUUCACAUCCACUUAAUUAAUUCAAAUGAUAUUUAGUCAAUAAGUUUAAAUUAAAAACUGCAAGAAUCUUCAUUUAUCUUUUAUUCGAAAUGUAAUUCGGAUUCAAUGAAAAUAUUGAACAUAUAAUGUGUGCACAUGGAAAUGUCCAAAUCUUUAAAUAUAGGGUCGACAUGGGAGAAAUCUCCUCAGACAUUGAAUUUAUUGAGUGCAUUUUCAGAGGAAAAUCCUGAAACAUGUUACAGGCAAAUAUUAAGAAAAACAAUGCACAAGCAUAAGUACAAAAACAUAGCAUGCAAGAAAUCAAUACUUGAAAGGAUUAAAAUCACUGCUAACCUAAGACAUUGAAUCUAGCACCACUAGGAAACAUCCGAAAUGAUACUUGUCUUUCAAUGUUGAGAUACAUACGUCCAAGUCUGCCAUGUUGCGCCAAACUGGAAUUCAUCAACCUNNNNNNNNNNNNNNNNNNNNNNNNNNNNNNNNNNNNNNNNNNNNNNNNNNNNNNNNNNNNNNNNNNNNNNNNNNNNNNNNNNNNNNNNNNNNNNNNNNNNUUAUAUAUAUAUAUAUAUAUAUAUAUACAGACACACACACAGAUAGACAUGAAGAAAGUGGGUUAAUGGUGUAUUAUUUAAGUAAAGAAAAAGUUGAAAUCUUAAACCUCUAAAUAUUGGGUAACAGCUAGUGUUAAAAGUGCAUAAAGUUCUUCUAUUAUCUACAAGAAACAAUGGAGGAAUCACAUACAUUGUUUAUAUUCACUUUUCUUGCUACACAAGCAAGCUGAGUCCAUAAACAAAGGCAUACCUUUUCUCCGUUUUUAAAUGGUUUUCUUGUUUCUUGGCUGCUUUUUAUAUUAAGAAGAGAGAUUGUGAGACCUCGUCAUCCUCAAGGAGUAAGUGGUCCAGCAUGAAGAUGAUGGGAAGACCAUGAGUCGAUGGUGGUCAAUCCAUGAGUUGAUUAUGAGUAGUUUCAUGUUAUGAAAUAAAAAUGUUAGCUAAAGUUAGUUGAACGCUGUGUUUUAGGGUUGAGGGUUUAAUGAAACUAUCAGUUUUGAUGUUGAAUGAAAAUGGUGCGUAUUGACGGUUUGUUACAACUGCUCGAGGAACAGCCCUAUAACAGACUUUGUAACUGCCAAUUCUCAGCCAUAAUAGAAACUGGCAUGGGAAAUGGGCAGAUAUGCCAUUUUGUGAAGGAAAUCAAUUCUUUCUUCUUCCUUGAUUCUCUUUCUCUUCUCUCUUUUUCUUUCUUCCUCUAUUCUGUUGAAAUUAUGCAUCACUUCACCAGUAUUCAUCAUUGUGGACGUAUCUGAUCUUCAGUCUCUGGUUUACUGCCCAUGUAAAGUUAUGGAAAGAAAUGCAAAUUUAAAAGGAUUUCUUGCUAUAGUCUAUGCAAUUUCAUGUGUGCGUGAAAGGAGAUGAAGAUUAAUAGAGUAAUACUGAUAUACCAACAAUUCAUUAAUUGAAGUACUAUCAAUAUUAUCAACAAGUAACAGGAUUAAGUGAGUAUACUAAUAUAGUCUAGAAAAGCAAUUUAAUUAAUAAUACCAUAGGGAUGGCAAGAGGGUGAAGUUGCUAUUGCUAUUUAUAUCUCAGCUGCUAGCUUUUGACGACUUCACCAAGUAAACUGCAAUCACAAGUGUUGUUCUUAUUACCUGCAAAAACAGAGCCAACAAUCUGAAUCCAUAUCCCCAUUUUAGGAACAANNNNNNNNNNNNNNNNNNNNNNNNNNNNNNNNNNNNNNNNNNNNNNNNNNNNNNNNNNNNNNNNNNNNNNNNNNNNNNNNNNNNNNNNNNNNNNNNNNNNCCGUAUCUGACACUUAUAUUCAACACAUAUUCAUGUAUUGGUAUGAAGAUAUGAUAUUCUUAUCCUAUACUCAUAUCCGUGCUCAGGUAACAUAAACUGAACCCGCAAGAUAACUGAUUUAACAUUGCAUUGCUGCUAGCUAUUGAUGAUUUCACCAAGUAAACUGCAAUCACAAGUGUUGUUCUUAUUCCUUGAAAAAACACAGUCAACAAUCUGAAUCCACAUUCCCAUUUUCGGAACAAAACCAUGGCGUACCAUUUGUUUCAAAGCCCAAUCAACUUCCUUUACCAUCUUCCCCUUAUAAAAACCAUGAAUCAACUUCUUGUAUGAAUCAAAACUAGGAUUAACCCUCUCGAAAACCAUUCUCCCCAUAAUCUCCUUUGCUUCCAUAAACCUCGCAGCAUCAAGCAAACCAUACAACACCUCUUGAUAAGACCCUGCAUUGGGAUAACACCCUUUCUUUUUCAUAAUUUCCAACAGCUUCACACCUUCAUCAAUCCUACCUUGUUUCCUAAGACCUGAAAUCAAGAUAUUAAAGCUAACAGCAUCAGCAUCGAUUCCUUCCGUUUCCAUCCUCCCCAUCAACUCAAAAGCUUCAUCAACCUUCCCCUUAUCGCACAACCCGUGCAUUAAAGUAGAAUAAGUUCUAACAUUAGGCUUACACCUUUGUUUAGGAAAUUCAUCGAGCAGUUGGAAUGCAAACUCUAAUUUCCCAUUUUCACACAACCCUUUAAUGAGAAUAUUCAGAGUACAAGCUUCGAUUUCAACACCCAAAUUGGGAGGUAAACCUCGUGAACAACAUCAAAUAGUUUGUUCGAUACGAGUAAGCUCAAUACGAUAUUGAAGGUUUUAACACUAGGCCAAGUCCCAUAUUCUGGCAUACUAAAAAGGAUCUCGAUUGCCCUUUUGAUUCGANNNNNNNNNNNNNNNNNNNNNNNNNNNNNNNNNNNNNNNNNNNNNNNNNNNNNNNNNNNNNNNNNNNNNNNNNNNNNNNNNNNNNNNNNNNNNNNNNNNNNNNNNNNNNNNNNNNNNNNNNNNNNNNNNNNNNNNNNNNNNNNNNNNNNNNNNNNNNNNNNNNNNNNNNNNNNNNNNNNNNNNNNNNNNNNNNNNNNNNNNNNNNNNNNNNNNNNNNNNNNNNNNNNNNNNNNNNNNNNNNNNNNNNNNNNNNNNNNCAGCCAGUCUUUGUGGGUUAGUUUGAAAAGGGCAGGGGAAGUGGAGUGGGUUGGUUGAUGGUAGCUGGAAAAUGAGGAGAAAAACGAAAGGGGUUUAAGAGAUGAGAUUUUAGUGGCGAUUGGAUGGUGAAAAAGUGAGGGAAAAUUUUGGGGGUAAGAGCUUUUGACAGAAGAAAGAAGGGAACGUGAAAUCAUGCGUUUGGCCAUUGGAGAAUGUAGAAACUGGAGAGCUAAAAGCUUUGUGCUAUUCGCACUAUAAACAUAUAUAGGGUAAGGGACAGGCUUAAUACUUGUUUUGUCCCCUGUAAUAUAGUAAAAAAUCUCAUUUUGACCCUUUUCCUUUACUUUGUCUGUUUACUUUCAUUUCGUCCAUCAUGUUAGUCUAUUGAUCAUUUCCGUAAAUCCCAUGUGUUAGGGUUCCUAUAUUAUAGUAUUCAUCCAUAUACUUUAACCCUCCACGUAGUCGCAAUCAAUUGGCUUAAAUGAUCACACACGAGGAUCACUAUAGUAUAAGGACCAAAGUGAGAAUUUUAUUAUUAAUUAAGUGACAAAUACGUAAACAUGCACUAAUUUUUUUAUACAGAAAUGGUCAAAGAAUUAAAGUGAUAGAUGAAAUGAAAGUAAAGGGCGCAAAGUGAUUGGAAAAUUAGUAAAAGGUUGGAAAAUAUGAAGAGAUUGUAUGAUGCAAAACUUAAAUAAUUUAUCUACUGCAAUUUUGAGGUGUAUUAAUUUGAAGUAAUGAAUCAUUGUUAUUUACAACUAUAUAUUAUAUCUCUUUGAAAUGUACAAAUAAAUUAAUGGGCAGAAUGUUUAUGAAUGUCAAAACUUUAUUUUUGCUUCUUCUUCCCUUCAAGAAUUGGUUGGAUUUGGAGAUGCCAAUUGAAAGCCUGGUUCAAAAGGAAUCGAGUUUGGAAUGCCGAAAUGAUCGGAAGCCAUGCCAAUAUAGCAAUUGGAGAGAAAAGGAUCGAUCCCAUUCCGUAAUCAUAUGCCUUAGCUAGUACCUCAGUGAACUGCCAGAGUCCGGUGUUCUCAAUAAUUGGCCUCACAGCUUGAGCAACCUGAAGGGAACUAAAAUGUCAGAGGGAAUAAGGCAAAAGAUGUAAACUCUAGACAAAAACUAUAUGCCGAUCCUCUAAAUAUAUGAACAAAUUUAAAAAAAAAAAUUGGCCAUGCCCGUAUUUGAUACUUAUUGUUGAAUUCGAGUAACAUAGUCAACUAGACAUACCAAAAUCAGACCCCAUCCAGUCAGCAGAAAUGCAAGACAGCAGACAAGUAAAUCCUUGAACGACAGUUCACAGAUGACUGAGAGACUAAUAACAAUGGCCAAAAUCCUUUACAAUUGUUUGAUUCCUCAGUCAUAUUGCCUUGGAAUCUUCGGAAGUCAAGACAAGUCUAGCUCAUCAGCUUUGCCAUUCAUCUUGAAACUCCAAGCCAAUAUGUCGUGCGUGAACCCAGGCUAUAUAAACAAUGCAAAUAAAAUAUAUGAAAUCACGGUGUACUGUAAGUAUAGAGAUUAAAUUGUAAUAUAGUUUUAGAUUUAUAAUGAAAUACAAAAAUAUUUCAAAAAUCGUACUCAAAGAAAGUAUGAACUAAAAUUGAAUUAAACAUUAACAAAGAAUAUGCAAAACUAAGUCUAAAUAGCUACUUCCUUAAUUAUGAUAGUAUGAUUAAACAUAAAUUGAAAGUAUAAAACUGGUAGACAAAUCAAUGAGAAAUGACAAACAAUAGUUCAUUAAUAUCCAUGAUUGUAAUUAAUCUAGACUUAUUCUACCAAAUAAUCAAUUUAGUCCUCUUAUCUUUCGAGCUGAUGGAUCUAAAUGGGACAACUGAAUCAGUUCUAGAUAAAAUCUCCUUUCAAUCUCAUCUACUUAAAUUUUCAUCUAGAGUCAUCAAUUUGAUCCAAUUAAUCAACUCAAAGCCUAGAAUUAAAUUAACUAUUCUCACUUCAAUUAACCAACUUUCUCAAAAAUUUAGUUAAGACCCAUUCUAAUGAUACUAGACCCACUUAAUUCGUAAACCAUGAAUAAAGUUAAUGAUACGAAAGAAUAGAGUUGAGAGAUGCGCAAUAAUCCAAAAAUUUCUGAUUGUGGAUAUCUUCUUUGAGUAGCAACUGAAAUUCUCAUAACGAAAGCGUGAAAUGAAAAAAUAAAUAUAUUUUUAUUAAAAUGAGUAUGAAGCGAGUGAAAUGAAAAAGAAAGGAAAACGGAUAAGGCUCCGAUUAAAGUUACUUUAAACAAGUAAAUAUAUUUUAUUCAAAUUUAUAGUUUAUUAUAUUUAUCUGUAAUCCUCACUUUAAAAAAGCAUUCCAAAUAUGCUUCCUCACUAGAGGUAAUAAUGGGUUGGACGGCCCGGCCUGACGGCCCACCCGAAAUAUGGGAGGAUUUGGGUAAAAAUAUAAGCCCGAAAUAUGGGUUUGGGUAAAAAAUGAGACCCGUUUAGAAAACGGGCUGGGCCUUAGGCAAAAAGUUUUUGGCCUGGGCCGAGCCUGGACAAAAUUUUAGUCCCAUAUUUUGGGCCGGGGUAGGCCCAGGGAUAGGACGUAGGCUGAAAAUUUUUUUUGGGCCUUGCCCGAACCCAGCCCGGCUCGGCCCAUGAUCACCUCUGUUCCUCACCUUAUCAUUUUUGCUUUUUUUCAAGUGCCAUUAUAAUUUUUGUUAAUCUUUCUUUUCCCUUAAUUAAAGCUUGAUGACUUAUAUUAUAUAUAUCCAUUUUAAAGAAAAUGUCACUAAAUUAUUGCUUUCGUUCUGUUUUGGUUAUUAAAUUAUUAAUUUUUUCGAUUUCGUUACUAAAUUUUUCGAAAUUAAUUAUUUUGAUCACUUUCUCGUUAAUUGUCAUUAGAUAAGUGAGGAAAAGCUAACACAAGUUUAUUUUAUUGUUCAAAGUAAUCCCUAUAUAUUAAAUAAAAAUUCAAUUUAAUUAUUGAAUUAAACUAAAAAUUCAAAUAAACUCAUAAUAUUACAACUUUUUUAUUAUAUAUAAUAUUUCCAAAUAAUAAAUUUAAAUUUAUUAUGAUUAUCAAACUUUUGUUUCAAUAUACCUACUAUAGUAUAUUUUCACUUUUUAAAUUGAUUAUAAUUAUUUUUUAAAUGUUAAUUUAAUAAUACGAUAAAAAAAUAAAUGAUAUUUUUAUCGAUUUAAUUUUUUUAAACUUAUGCUUUUAUAGAUAUUAUAGAUGGAUUAUAGAUUAUAGGAAUAGGGUCUAAUGGCUAAAAAGAAAAAUUAUGUACCGGCUAUGUGAAGGCAUUAUACAAUGGAUCAUCAAAGUAGAAAGAUUAGUAUUAGAUAAAGUGAAAGUGAGUGUCCUCCACUCAUUUUACUUUUAAAAAAAAAAAUUUAAACAAAAAAGACUUUACUUUUGUUCUACGAACCUUUCUGUUUGUAGGAUUUCUGCACUCACAUCUUGAAAUCCAAAUUCAAGAUUUUAAAGAAAUUUCUGAGCUUACUCACUAUUAUGGCUUGGUCUGCUGUGACAUCUGCAGUGACAACAAUUGGCAACCUACUAACUCAGGAAGCCAUAUACCUAUGGGGUGUGGAGGAGCAAGUUAUGGAUGCAAAGCUCCUUAAUGGAGGCAGAGACAAAACAAUCAAAGGAUGAGAGGAUUCGUCUGUGGCUUGCUGAAAUCAGAGAGCUUGCUUAUGAUGCUGAGGAUAUUGUUGAGGAAUUUGCUCUCAAGAUUGGAUCCAAAAACAAAGGUGGCCUUCCGAGUUGUAUUAAAAGAUCAGCCUGCUGUUUGAAAGAGGGAUGGGUGCUCCAUGAAACCAGGUCAAAGAUCGAGAAAAUCAUAGAAAGAAUCAACGACUUGGUCCGGCGACUACAGGCCUACGGAGUAAAGGAAUUAAAGGACAGAGGAGAAGAAUCAAGUUUUUCAACUGAAAGACGAGAAUCAAGGCGGCCUUAUCCACAUAUUAUGGAUGAUAAUAUUGUUGGACUAGUUGAUGAUACCGAGGGAUNNNNNNNNNNNNNNNNNNNNNNNNNNNNNNNNNNNNNNNNNNNNNNNNNNNNNNNNNNNNNNNNNNNNNNNNNNNNNNNNNNNNNNNNNNNNNNNNNNNNNNNNNNNNNNNNNNNNNNNNNNNNNNNNNNNNNNNNNNNNNNNNNNNNNNNNNNNNNNNNNNNNNNNNNNNNNNNNNNNNNNNNNNNNNNNNNNNNNNNNNNNNNNNNNNNNNNNNNNNNNNNNNNNNNNNNNNNNNNNNNNNNNNNNNNNNNNNNNNNNNNNNNNNNNNNNNNNNNNNNNNNNNUUGAUGAUGUUUGGACCAGUGAAGCUUGGGAUAGUCUAAAACCUGCCUUUCCAGUUGCAACGGGCCGUGAUAGCAAUAGCAAGAUAUUGCUCACCUCUAGAAACAAGGGGAUAGUUUCAGAUGCUGAGAUAAGAGGUAAAAUUUUCUUAAUUAGGUAAAAUUGAAUACUCUUAUUCCUUUGAUGGAAAAUAACCAUGUAUAUUAUUUCAGAGUUGAAGUGCCUAAACGAUGAAGAAAGUUGGGAAUUGUUUCAAAAGAUUGUAUUUCCUCAAACAGGUAAAUAUACGUAUAGCAAAAUUCUUGUUAUAUGCUAAAUUUAUUUUUCAUUUAAAAUUUUUUUUUGGUGAAAGUAAGGACCUUAUCUUUGAUAUGCCUCAAAGUUAAUGUUUUCGAAAGCCCCCACAAAGAAGGGACACCCAAGUAGGCGUCCGAAUUAUUUGCCACCUCUAAGUUAGUCUCUUCUUGAAUCAACCUUUCGUUGUCCCUUUGGGAGUAUUCACACUAAAAACGUUGCUUGAUUUAUCAUAGUUGACCCUUCGUCCAGAAGCUGCACAAUAUUCUUGAAUCAAGUUAAUCAUUCUCCUACAAUUUAACGAACUAGCUUCCAAAAAGAAUAGAAAUCGUUCGUGAAUAACAAAUGUGACACUACUGGAUAAUGACUACUAAGGCUAAUCCCAGAAAUAAAACUAGACUCGACUCUAAUAAUAAUCACUACCCCUAGAACUCCUUUCAAUAUAUUCACCAUGAUCUUCGAUAUGAUUUAAUACUUAAAAUUACAAGGACUAAUUGACCUAAAUUAUGUCAUUAAUUCAAGACAUUUAGUUUUCAGAAUUAAAAUUAUUUCAAUCUCGUUCAAAAAUUUCCCUUCCCUUAAUAGCUUCCAAAACAUCCUUUUUAAUAAUUUCCCAAUAAUUAUUAUAGAAAAUCCCGUUAAAAUCAUUUGCAAAAAAAGAGAUUAAUUUAAUUGUUUUGUAUGCUUAACUUGUACAAUAUAAGUAAAAUCUUAUAAUUUUAUCUCCAAAUUCUCUCAACACAAUUUUCUGACCCUUAUUUAUAAUCUCAUUUGCAUCACACAGGAUAUCCAAUUUAAAAUUAAAUAAUUUUUUUUAUAUAAUUCUUUAAAUAUUAAAAGUAUUUUCCUCUAUUAUUUUUUUUUGUUGGAGUAUUAAAUAUUAGCCUUGAAACCAUAAGGCAGGAACUAUUCCAAACAACCCUUAAAAAGAUAUGUAAAUUUUGUUUUUGAAUAUCAUUUUUACUUUUUUAGAUUUCAAAUUGGAUAAUGAACUAUAUAUUUAUUCAUUCGAAACUCCUCUUAAAUUAGUGAGAGUGAAGUUUCUUAUUUAGUAUUGAUUGUUCCAUAAAAUUUUCAAAGUUUUCAAAGUUUUCAAAUAGAUUUAUUUUUUCAAGUGUAGUUAAUAACCGCAAUAAAAAUUAAACUUUAUAAGUGAUAAAUUUAUAUUAAAAAUUGUUUGAUAUAUUCAUAAAAUAUAAGUUUGAGUUCAUCUACUUUUACAUUUCUUUUACCUAUUUAAAUUAUUUCUUAAUUUUCCUUAUUUUUUAAAAAUUUAUUCUUAAUUUUUUAUAUAGGAAAUAUAAUCGACGUGGAAAUGAAAAAGUUAGGAGAGAACAUGGUUAAACAUUGUGCAGGGCUUCCAUUAGCCAUUGUUGUGUUGGGAGGAAUUUUGGCUACAAAGAAUAAUUCAUUAAACGAAUGGCAAAAGAUAUCUGACAAUGUAAAAUCAUACUUGAAGAGAGGCAAAAAUCAAGGACCAAAGGAUGUGUUAGCAUUAAGUUAUGAUGAUUUGCCUCCUUAUCUAAGACCAUGUUUCCUCUAUCUAAGCCAUUUUCCGGAGGAUUAUAUGAUAGAUAUGGAUAGAUUGAUUCAAUUAUGGGUUGCUGAAGGUAUUGUGUCAUCAAAGCAAGAAGAAAGAGACGGUGGGGAAAUUGCGGAAGAUGUGGCGGAAUCUUAUUUAAUGGAGCUUGUGGAAAGGUGCAUGAUUCAAGUACGAGAAAGAGAUGUGGCAACCUUAAAGGUCAAAACAAUUCAGAUGCAUGAUCUGAUGAGAGAUCUUUGCUUAUCAAAGGCAAAACAAGAAAAUUUUGUCUUCAUUGUCGAUCAAUCAAAUGCAUCUUCAUUAUCUAUGAUUCGGAAGGUUCGUAGGGUUUCUGUGCAUGAGUUUUUUUUCAUACAAUGCAUUAAAAGUCCAAAUAUUCGGUCAGUUUUGUUCUUCGAUGAGUUCUUUCCGGAGGAGGCAUUAGAAAAAUCUUUGCCCUUGGAAGUGUUGAAUUACGUUGAAGAACAUGUAGAUGAAGUUCGUAAUCCACUUGUUUGGAUUCUUAUGAUUUCGCUAGGUUGUACGAGACUUCUUAAAGCUCGGGGAAUUUGGAGAUACAUGUUCAACAACUUCAAAUUGCUAAGAGCCCUAAACUAUGAGAGAACAGGAGGUUAUCCUUUUGUAGGGUUUAAGUUACCCAGAGAUAUAGGAAAUCUCGUCCAUUUAAGAUUCUUGAGUCUAAAGGAUCAUGAGUUCUUAUGGCCAAAGUUGCCAUCAUCUCUACGCAACUUAAGGUGCUUGCAAACCUUGGAUUUAAGAGUUGGUUGUGGCAUAAUUCAUUUACCUAAUGUGAUAUGGAGGAUGGAGCAACUAAGACAUUUAUAUCUCCCUUUAAGAUGUAAAAGCAGUACUAAGUUGAAGUUGGGUACUUUGAGAAAACUCCUAACACUUGUGAACUCAACACCAAGAAUUGUUAUCUGAAGGAACUUAUGAACAUGACAAAUCUUAGAGAGUUGGAAAUAAAUUCGCCCUUCAAUAUUGAAAAUUUCAAUGAGACGGAGUUGGGCGAGAAUCCACCCAUAAUCGGAAGUAAAUGUCUUCAUUCCUUGUCUAUUAUUACCUCUGGGGACGAAUCAAUAGAUCCAAAACAUUUGGCCCAUCUCCUUUCAAAUUGUACAAGUAUUUGCAAGUUGAGUAUAGAAACAAGGAUAAGCGAGUUACCAGAGUAUCACUACUUCUCUUCACAUCUCGCUUAUAUAGGGUUGAGAUGGUGCAAGCUUGAGAAAGAUCCAAUGCCAACACUAGAGAAGCUGCCUAACUUAAGGAUUCUUGAACUCGAAAGUUAUUUCGAAGGAAAGGAAAUGUUUUGCUCUGCUCAUGGUUUUCCUAAACUUGAGUCUCUAAUCCUUACUGAGGUCAACAAUUUGGAGGAGUGGAAGGUGGAUGAAGGAGCCAUGCCUUCUCUUCAGCGAUUGGAGAUCAAGGGUUGCCUAGGAUUGAAGAUGCUUCCAGAGGGAUUGAGGUUCAUUACAACCCUCAAAGAACUGAAGAUUGAAUCAAUGCCAAAGGCAUUCAAAGAUAGAUUGGAGGAGGAAGGAGGAGAAGAUUUCUACAAAGUCAAACUUGUUUCUUCUAUCAUAUUCCAAAACUGUGGCUAAUAGAUUGAAGGAUAAUUGAGGGGUAAUUUCAUAACCUCUAGAUUAGGAAAUGAUUCCUACUUUCUUUGCUUCUUAUAUAUCUUCCAUUUUUGACAAUGUCUCACCUUCUCACUCCAUUUGUCUACACACGAAUGAAUAAUUAGAUUUAUUAAAAGUUAAAGGAAGUCGGACAUUGAUAUUUUUAGUUUUGCUUUUCAGGUAAAGAAGCCAUUUUUUCACCUGCUACUGCUAUUUACGGGAUCAAGUCUAGAUUUAAAACUCCUAUUAUAAGUUGCGUGUGAAAGUGUGUUAUAUGGUGAGGUUUGGAAUUAUCUUCUCUGUUGCAUAUAUCUAUGGUUGUUGACAUCAGACUGGUUGACUGUUUGUUGUUUUCUUCAAAUUACAAUAAAACGGUUGCAAGAUAAGGUAUGGGAAGAAUGGGAGGUGUCUGGAUUAGCAAGGUACCAAACCCCUCCUCCAUUUUAAUUUCCUUCAAUCUAAUUUAAUUACACAUUCAUUUUUGUCUUUUCAAACAUAAAAUUGCAGAUAAGGAGACGUCACUGACCUUUGCUCCGACAUAGCUUUGGUUUGCGUUGACCGUUCCUAUAUUUAUUUGUUAGCUUUGCUUUCUCUUUCUAUUUUUUCCCUACUUAAGUCUGCUUGAGUCUCCCUUUUUUUAUAUGUACUUUACCUAAUAUUAGAAGCCAAGGCAGGACCGUGCUUUUCUAUUGUAAAAUUCAUCACUUCGUUUGUCAAUGUUCAUUUCUACUCUUCAGUUUACUUAAAUAUAAUUGUUUGAUAUAUAUUUGAAUAUGAAGAAUAUAAUCUUUUUAAGAUAUACAUAUUUUAGAAAAAAUUGAAUAUAUGUAUGUCGGACACAUUUCCCGUUUCAACAUAUUUCCUUAUUUUAUGCAAGUCGAUUGGUAUUCAACAUACUCUUUUCCGUCAUCCUUAACUCAAUAAUCUUUGUUACGAUAUCAUAUCAGGUUUAAUAGUGGCAGUUCAUCCCCACACUUCCAAAGCCAAAAAUAGGAAAAAAAUUAAAUGUUACCAACUAAUAACACUUUCAAAUUACAUUGUCUUACAAAAAAAAAAAGAUACAAUUUGAAUUUUAGCAAGCUAUGCUUUAUAAAAGGCAAAGGAAUCUAAGGGAAUCUUUCAUUCAAGAUUUUGUAUCCUCAUGCCUUGCUUCUUAUAUCUACCAACAAUAUCUUUGUGAUAAUAAACUAAAAAAAAAACUGCAAAUCCAACUUAAUCGAUUGGAAAUUUCACAUCCACUUAAUUAUUUCAAAUGAUAUUUAUUCAAUAAGUUUAAAUUAAAAACUGUAAGAAUUUUCAUUUAUCUUUUAUUCAAAAUGUAAAUCGGAUUCAAUGAAAAUAUUGAACAUAUAAUGUGUGCACAUGGAAAUGUCCAAAUCGUUAAAUAUAGGGUCGACAUGAGAGAAAUCUCCUAAUGCCCAACGUUAAAUAUUUAUAAAAUUCAAUAUGAUCCUAUUAUUUUCGUUAUAAAACUCAAUAUCUUAUUCGGAUUAGGAUACAAGCGAAUAACAGAUAACUAUUUGUCGUUCAAGGUAUGAUAAAAUCUCAGUAGCUAAGAUAUGAAUGUUGCAAAAUACCAUACAAAAUCACAGCCACAUUUGUUAGUAUGGCUAUUUUGGGUAAUCAAAGGAAAAAAAUGUUAGCUGUUGAGCAAACAAGGUGAACAGAUUAGAUAUUCCAAUUACGUUCAAGCACUUGACAAAUCCUUUCUGCAAUGGCUUCAGCACGCAUCCUAGGACCUUCAUCAUCUGCAAAAAUCGACCAUUUCUAACAACUAAGCUAACAUCACACAUGAUAAUAUAUGUAUAUAACAUAUAUAGAUGAUGAUUAUGUGGAUUAAAAGCUAUGUUAGUUUGACUCAAUACAUGACCAUGGGACAUGCACGAUUCUUCAAUAACGANNNNNNNNNNNNNNNNNNNNNNNNNNNNNNNNNNNNNNNNNNNNNNNNNNNNNNNNNNNNNNNNNNNNNNNNNNNNNNNNNNNNNNNNNNNNNNNNNNNNUUAAAUACAUCAAUAUCUAACAUUUACAUCUGAGUUCGAGUAAAGUAAAACAUGUCAUUCUACCUAAACAUGCAAAAUAUCCAAGACUCUUGACGAAUGUUAGAUACAAAUAUGUAGAAUGUACCCAAAAUACCCAUCUCGAACUCAGUAGAGAAAUAUCUAGCACUCAAAAGGCACUAGCUUCAACCAAGAACAAGGAAGUUUCUUCAAAGGCUUGAUAUACUUUCUUCACGGCCAUAUAUAUGUGUGCAUAUACCCAUAUUAAGGACGAUUGUUUUGGCAAAGAGGAUGAGAAGAUAGAAAGAAAACCUUUAAUCCAAUGACAAUAUUUGAUUAUAACAACAUGACACAUAUAAUUGUGAUUAAAAUUGUGGUCACAAACAUGUUUGCAAUCACAUCAUGUUAACGAAUACUAUCGCAAUCAAUUGCAAUAAAUAUCCACAACAAGAAGAGCGAAAAUCCUAAAAACAACAAAGAUAAUACAUUACAGCUGUUAAAGAAUUUUCAAUAACAUAUAUACCUGCAAGAUUUUCAGUGAUGACACAACAAAGUUCACCACCAGACAACUUCCCGAUCUAAUGAAAUUUUCAAACAUAUCAUAAGUUUCAAGAUCAACUGAAACAUGCGAAUACUGUUGGUGUUAAGAGGUAACAGCAAGCUGAUUUGAGCUUGCUUAUACAGCAAGGCUCGAGGCUUGCAGAAGAAACAAUUGAAGAAAGAAACAGAAAAUGAAGCUUGCGAAUGGAAAACAGAAAAGAAAGAAAAAGUUUGAAUGAAAACAAGCUAAAAUUUUCAUUAAUUGUCAAAGAGGCAUAAUGCCAUUAUAUAUAUGAGUUAACAAUCACAAAAUAAACAAGUUACUACCUAAACUUAGACCUAACACCAUUAAUUUACAUUGAACUUGUUAAAUUUGCUUGAGUACAUAAACAAGUCACCUAAACUUGUCAUUCAGCACCUAAUUACAUCAAAAUGCAGCUACCAACUAAGUUUUAUUCAAACUAGAAUACAAAACAUUCAUUAAAGAAACUAAAUGAAACAAAAUAACUUCAGUUUGCUGCUUGAAGCACGUUCUCUGCAUGGCCACCUUGGCUGCUGCAUGGGGGCUGACUUCAACACUCUUCCUCAGCUUCUAUGCUGCAGACUCCUAGUUGCUUUCUUAGGCUUAGAAAUCUCGUUGUACCAAGAGACUUUGUAAAGAUAUCAGCAAUUUGAUUUUCAGAGCUGCAAUAAAUCAGCUCGAUCUCUCGAGCUUGUUCCAGUUCUCUUAUCACAUGCAACUUUAUGUUGAAGUGUUUUGUUCUGCCAUGAAAGACUGGAUUUUUGGCAAUUACAAUAGCUGACUUGUUGUCACAAUAAAUCUUGGUUGCUUCAUUAAAUUCAAAUCAGUGAGGAUUUUUCUUAGCCACAUAGCUUGAUUAACAACAUUAGCAGCUACUACAUACUCUGCUUCUGCUGUUGAUUGAGCCACCAUUGUUUGUUUUCUUGAACUCCAACAAAUCAUAGUUGAGCCAAGUGUAAAAGCAUAACUAGAAGUGCUCUUCAUAUCAUCUUUUGAACCAGCCCAAUCGCUGUCAGUGUAGUCAAUCAAUUUCAACUCUUCAGCCUUUUUAAAAUGUAUUCCAUGGUUCAAGGUACCUUUGAUGUACCUUAGCACCCUUUUUCCUGCUUUGUAAUGCUGCUGAUUACAACAAUGCAUGAAUAUUGACAGCAUGCUUACUGCAAAUAGAAUAUCAGGUCUCGUUGCUGUCAAAUAUAACAAGCAGCCAACAAGGCUUCUAUAAUCUGUUCCACUGAUAGGUUCAUGAUCUUCUUGACUCGAUAGUUUCAUGCCAACAACCAUAGGUGUGCUGGUUGGCUUGUAGUUCUCCAUUGAAAAUUUGGCUAGAACUUUCAAAGCAAAUGAUUUCUGUCCCAAGAAGAUUCCUUCAUCUGCUUGAUUAACUUCCAUUUCUAGGAAGUAAGUCAUCAAUCCCAGGUCUGACAUUUCAAACAUCUCCUUCAUUUUUGUUUUAAAAUCAGCCAACCUGAGUUUGUCUCCUCCAGUCACUAAAAGAUCAUCAACAAAAAGUGACACAAUGAGCUGUGUUUCAGCUCGAUUCUUUUUAACAUAGAGAGUUGGCUCACUGGCACUUCUUUCAAAUCCCAAACUGACCAGGUAUGAGUCAAUUCAAGCAUACCAGGCUCUAGGAGCCUGUUUCAGGCCAUACAGGGCUUUUCUUAGCCUAUACACCAAAUGUUCUUUACCAGGCAUUGUAAAUCCUGGAGGUUGCUCGAUGUACAUCUCCUCUUCCAACAAUCCAUUGAGAAAUGUAGACUUUACAUCCAUUUGGUGAAUUGUCCACUGAUUCUGAGCAGCUAGAGCAACCAGUAAUUUGAUUGUAUUGAGUCUGGCUAUUGGAGCAAAUGUUUCCAUGUAGUCCAGACCAUAUCUUUGACUGAAGCCCUUCAUAACUAGUCUAGCUUUCAACUUAUUUAAGCUUCCAUUUGCAUUGUGCUUUACUCGAUAGACCUAUUUUACACCAAUGAUCUUUCUGUUAGCAGGUUUCUCAACCAACUCCCAUGUUUGGUUCUUCUCGAUCAUGUUGAUUUCAUCAACUAUAGUGUGCUUCCAGCCUUCAUCUGCCUCAGCCUCUUCAAAACAGGUAGGUUCUGCUAUAGCAACCUGUGCCCUCUCAUAAAUCUCAUCUAGGGACCUUGUUCCUCUCACAGGUACAUCAUCAAUGUCUAUUUCAGGACUAAGCUGCUCGAAUUUAGCUUGAUUAGGCACCAGGUCUUCUGUAAGAGCUUCUAGCUCAUUCUUUUCCCAAUUCCAGCAAGCCUUUUCAUCAAAGAUGACAUCUCUGCUUACCUGGAUUUUGCUUGUGAGGGGAUCUAGGAUCCUGUAGCCCUUCUUAGUUGAGCUAUAGCCCACUAGGAUACUUGGUUGAGCCCUUUUUGCAAGCUUGUCCCUUUUUACUGCUGGUAUUUGUGCAUAGCACAGGCAACCAAACACCUUCAGAUGUGCCAAGGAAGGCUUGAAUCCAAACCAAGCCUCGAAAAGUGUCUUGGAAGCAAGAGCUUUGGUAGGAAGCCUAUUCUGGAGGUAGACAGCAGUGUUUACUGCCUCAGCCCACAUGCUCUUGGGCAGUUUCUUCUCAAACAGGAGGCAUCUGGCCAUAUCCAUCAGGCUUCUGUUCUUCCUUUCAGAUACCAUAUUCUGCUGAGGUGUGUACACAUUUGUUAGCUAGUGUUUGAUCCCAGCAUCACUACAAAUGGCUUGAAACUGAGCUGAAGUGUACUCAGUGCCAUUGUCUGACCUUAUCGAUUUUAGCUUGCAGCUUGUUUCUGUCUCAACAGUAAUUUUAAACUUUACAAACACUUGAGCUACCUCAGACUUGUGUUUCAAGAAGAAAAUCCAGCAAAACCUUGUAAAAUCAUCAAUGAAGAGGAUGAAAUACCUGUUUUUGCUAAGUGAUUCAGUCCUCAUCGGGCCACAUACAUCAGAGUGCACCAGCUGUAAUCUUUCAGUGGCUCUCCAUGCUGAAUUUGUAAGAAAUGGCAAUCUUGCCUGUUUUCCUAUCUGGCAAACUUCACACACAUCAUUAUGCUCCACUGAGUUGGUGAAGUUCUCAGCUAGACCCUCUUUGGCUAUUUGAGCUAUUGAUUUGAAAUUGGCAUGUCCAAGCCUUUGAUGCCAGAGCUUGGAAUUAUCAACAGAGGCUGUGUAUGCUGACUUUGAGUAAUUUGGCCAAUGAACCUCAAAGCAUUUGUCAGUCAUUGUGACUGUCAUAAGGCUUGAUCCACUUGGAUCAGCAAUGUGGCACUGUUUGUCCUUGAACACAACUGAAUAGCCUUUCUCGAGCAAUUGAGCUAUGUUGAGAAGGUUUCUGUCAAUCUCAGGCACCAACAGGACAUUUGAGAUGAUUUUGUUGCUUGUAGGAGUGCAUAACAUCACCUCUCCUCUUCCUUCAACCUUUAUAAACUGACCAUUUCCAACCUUGACCUUGGUUUUGCAACUUCUGUCCAAGGUUUUGAACAAGGAGGCAUCUGGUGACAUGUGGUUGGUGCAGCCACUAUCCAACAACCAGCCUUUAGAGCAUUUCUUCUCAGCAGCUAAGCAAGACACAGCAAAUACCUGCUCUUUUUGGUCACUACUGUCUUCAACCACUCGAGCUUUUUGCUUUUGACUGUUGAAAUUGGUUCUGCCUUGGUUUGGUUUUGUUUUUACACACCUUUUCGACAUGGCCCUUCUUUUUGCAGUGUUGGCAUACUACAUCUGGUCUAAACCAGCAUCUGUCUUCUGGAUGUCCUGGUCUCUUGCAAUAUCUGUAAGGCUGGUCACUGCUCCUUGCAGCAUCAGGCUUAGGCCUAUUUUUCCAGGGCCUUUUACCUCUAUGAGCAUUGAUGCUCGAGGCUUCUCUGGCCUUGGCUUGAAAUGCACCUUCCUGGUGAUCUUCAGCUCUGCUAGCUCUUCUUUGUUCCUGAGCAUAGAAAGUGUUAAUCAGCUCAGUCAAAGAGAUGCUAGCAAGGUCUCUUGAGUCCUCUAAGGAGGAUAUCUUUGCCUCAUGUCUCUCAGGCAAAGUGGAGAGGACUUUCUUCACGAUUCUUGCCUUAUCAAAGUGCUCACCUAGGAGCCUUAUGCUGUUAACCACUGCCAUGAUUCUAUCUACAUACUGCUUCAUUGUUUCUUCUUCCCUCAUCUUCAGAUUCUCAAAGUCUCUCCUCAAAUUCAACAGUUGUUGUUGCCUUGUCCUUUCUAUGCCUUGAAACUCCUCCUAAAGCUUAUUCCAGGCCUGUUUUGGAGUCUCAUAGGCCAUAAUUCUGGUGAAUAUGACAUCUGACACACAAUUCUGGAUGUAGGACAUAGCUUUGUGCCUUUUGGUCCUCUCAUCAGCGUGUUGUCUGAUCUGAGCUACUGUGAGAUUGGCCCUCAGUGGUGCUGGCUCAACAUCUGUGUUAACAACUUCCCACAGAUCAAAGGCCUGCAAGUAAGUUUUCAUCUUAACCAGCCAUACGUGGAAGCCUUCUCCAUUGAAGACUGGUGGGGCUGCUGGUGAAAAUCCUGAAGAAGCCAUCCUGGUUUUUUGGUUUGAUAUAUCAGGUCCACUAAGACAAGGGCUCUAGAUACCAAUUCUUGGUGUUAAGAGGUAACAACAAGCUUGUAAUGCCCAAUUUUAGCCCGAGCCCAAAACCAAAACAUACAGUCCAUUACAAAUAAAAUUAAUUACAGGCCCAAAAUACCCAACAGGCCCUAAUUAAGAAACCCUAGCCCAAAAACAUAAUUUUUUUUCAGUACCAAACCCUAGCCCCCCUAAGCAUGCGCCGCAUCCCCUUGUCGGCCACUCCCUCGCGCCGCCCCCACCAGUCCCGUCGCCAGGCCGCUCGUGCCGCCCAAGGUGCCCCUCUGUCACACUCCUUUUGACCGAAAUAGCCACCUCCAGACAGAAAAGCAAAAAGAAGAACAAUUAAAAUGAUAGCAAGGGUAGAAGAACAGUGAUAGCAGUUAAUCUUGGCUAUAAGAGCCACGGAAAUAUCAAUGUAAAGGGAGGACAGAUUUUUAGAGUUUGAAAAAAGGGUUCCGAAAAUUUAAAAACAGAAGAAAAUAAAAAAAUAGAUCUAUUCGAAAAGCAAUUUGCAGUUUCUAUUUUGUUCUCUUUUCUUUUGUUUUGAUACAAAAAACAACUUCAAGAACUCAAAAAAGAAAAAAACAGAUCUAAAAUUUAACAUUCCAAGGUGAUUUUAUUUUCGUUUAUAUUUCUUUUCCUUUUGUAUUUAUUUAUUUUUUUCUUUUUCAAAAGAACAGUUUAUAUUUGUGCAAAAAUCAUACAUAGAAAAAUAUAUAAAAAAAUUACCUUUUAAAUUUUUCAGGCCACCGUGCACGGUGGCCGGCGCGGCGGUGGAGCGGCGGCGCUGUUCACCGGAUUCUGGGCAGUGCCCAGAAUGGGGGAGAGGAAUUGAGAGCAUUUUCAGAAAUUUUUUGGAGAAAAGAAGGGAAGAAUGAAAAUUAAAAAUAAAAACCAACUUAAAUAGGCCUCCAAAACGACGUCGUUUUGGGCAGGCCUCUCAGGCACCAAAACGGCGUCGUUUUGGCUUUGACCCGAUUCGCCCGACCCGCUCCAGGCUAGGAUCCGCGUGUUUUUAGCGGAAGGGCUAAUUGCACUUUCAGCCCUUCCGCUUUAAAAUAAUUUUACAAUCAAGGCCCCUUUUGUUUUUUUAAAUUCGCACAGUAGUUUAUUAUUUUUACAAUUUGGUCCUAUGAUGCUGUGCGUUUUGGGAAAGAGGGAAAAAUUGCUCUCUUGAUCCCUUCUUGUUGUUUGCGCGUUCAGCUUUGUCCUUCCUCUUUUAUUUAUUUAUAGAUUUGGCCCCAAAUUUUGUUUUAAUAUCUAAUUUAGCCCUUCUUUGUUAUUUUGUUUGUUUUAUUAUUAAAUUAAUAAAUGAUAUGUUAUUAUUAUUGUUAUUUAUUAUUAGUUUUUAUUUUAUAUUUAUUUAUUUAUUCAUCAUCAUUAUAUAAAUUAGUUUUGCAUUACCUUUUAUAUAUUAUAUUAUAUUAUAUAUAUUAUAUAUAUUUUUUAGUUUUUUUAGUUUUUAUAUAUAUAUAUUUUUAUCUUACUGUAUCUUUAUUAUUUAUCAUUUACUUCAAGCUUUUCUAUGUUUUCUAAAUUAUUAUUAUUAUUAUUAUUAUUAUUAUUAUUAUUAUUAUUAUUAUUAUUAUUAUUAUGUUUAUACUCUUUUAAUUUUAAAUUCUUGUUAUAUAUUUACAUAUACAAACGCAUACUUUUUAUAAUAUAUAUGUACAUAUUUUAUUUUAUUUUAUUUUAUUUUGUGUGUAAAUAUAUACAUUUUCCCGAUGCAUAUACACAUACAUUUUAAAGUUAUUAUAAAUAUAUUUUAUAUUUCAUUUUUCAUACUUACACAUACCUAUAUCUAUUUCUACGUAUUUUAUUACACAUAGAUAUACGUAUACAUAUUUUUAAAUAUUUUUUAUAUUUUCAUAAUUCUAAAAUAUAUAUAUACAUGUAUUUAUAUAUUUUUAUUUCUUUUAUGGUUUCGUUAUUUCGCGCUGUGUUUAUUUUAUUUUAUUUAUUCAUGCCCACUUUCAUUCGAAUAGUGUAUUUGCUUAUUCUUUUGCAUGUUUAAUUCGUUUUUUAUUUAUUUAUCUUUUAUUUGUUGUUACUUGUAUUAUUCAUACUUACAUUAUCGAAUUUAUUAUUGUUUUGUUAUGAGCAUUAACAUCAUGUUUUAUUUCUACUAUUACACGUUAAAUUAUUUUUCAUUCAAUGUAUAAAUUAUGAUUUUUGAAUAAACAAAAUUUCGUGUUUAGAUUUGAGAAAGUCGUACCCUAACUUACUAGGUUUUGAUUUUCACAAUGAAUAUAAAUACGUGGAUCUUUUCAAACUCAAAUUUUCAACGAUCUCGGGAUUUAUAAAAGAUCGUAUCCUAACUUACUGGGUAUGAUCCCUUUUUUAAACCCGAGAUAAUUGAAUAGCUUUUAAAUAAUUUCUUCGGCAUUUAUUCUUGAAUCGGGAAUUUAAAGACAUUGUGUCCUAACUUACGGGAUAUAAUUCUUUUUCUUGAUUAUCGUGAAAAUGCCCUUCUCUCGAAAACUUUUAGCAUUUUAAUAAAAGAUCGUAUUUUUAAAUUUCUUCAAAGUUCUCAAUUUUCGACAUUAAGACAUUAAGUAAUCAACUAGGUACCAAUUUUGGGCGUUACGAGGGUGCUAAUCCUUCCUCGUACGUAACCGACUCCCGAACCCGUUUUCUAAAUUUCGUGGACCAAAAUCGUUGUUUUAAUAAAAUUAAACUGUUUAUUAAAAACAACCAGUUUUCGAGGCGAUCCAAUCACACCUCGUUAAAAAAUGAUUGGUGGCGACUCCCACAUUCGAUUUCAUUUUUUUAAAAACCCAAGUCGAAUCCGUUUUCACCCAAAAAAUGGUGUCAACAAAGCUGAUUUGAGCUUGCUUAUAUAGCAAGGCUCGAGGCUUGCAGAAGAAACAAUUGAAGAAAGAAACAGAAAAUGAAGCUUGCGAAUGGAAAACAGAAAAGAGAGAAAAAGUUUGAAUGAAAACAAGCUAAAAUUUUCAUUAAUUGUCAAAGAGGCAUAAUGCCAUUACAUAUAUGAGUUAACAAUCACAAAAUAAAUAAGUUACUACCUAAACUUAUACCUAACACCACUAAUUUACAUUGAAACUUGUUAAAUUUGCUUGAUUACAUAAACAAGUCACCUAAACUUGUCAUUCAGCACUUAAUUACAUCAAAAUGCAGCUACCAACUAAGUUUGAUUCAAACUAGAAUACAAAACAUUCAUUAAAGAAACUAAAUGAAACAAAAUAACUUCAGUUUGCUACUUGAAGCAUGUUCUCUGCAUGGCCACCUUGGCUGCUGCAUGAGGGCUGACUUCAACAGAUACCAAUUAUGAUAAGAAAUUAAAUUAAGGAUUUUCUACUGCAAGCCUACCACGAAAACAUAAUUUUUAUUAGGAUCAAAGGCGUAGCCCAUCAUGGCAGCAUUAUUGAGUCCAUUUUCAGAGGAAAAUCCUGAAACAUGUUACAGGCAAAUAUUAAGAAAAACAAUGCACAAGCAUAAGUACAAAAACAUAGCAUGCAAGAAAUCAAUACUUGAAAGGAUUAAAAUCACUGCUAACCUAAGACAUUGAAUCUAGCACCACUAGGAAACAUCCAAAAUGAUCCUUGUCUUUCAAUAUUGAGAUACAUACGUCCAAGUCUGCCAUGUUGCGCCAAACGGGAAUUCAUCAACCUCUUGAGAGCCUAAAGGAUGAAAAGUUCAAGUCCGAGUUAUAUAUAUACAGACACACACACAGAUAGACAUGAAGAAAGUGGGUUAAUGGUGUAUUAUUUAAGAAAAGAAAAAGUUGAAAUCUUGAACCUCUAAAUAUUGGGUAACAGCUAGUGUUAAAAGUGCAUAAAGUUCUGCUAUUAUCUACAAGAAACAAUGGAGGAAUCACAUACAUUGUUUAUAUUCACUUUUCUUGCUACACAAGCAAGCUGAGUCCAUAAACAAAGGCAUACCUUUUUCUCCGUUUUUAAAUGGUUUUCCUGUUUUUGGCUGCUUUUUAUAUUAAGAGAAAGAGAGUGUGUGAGACCUCGUCAUCCUCAAGGAGUAAGUGGUCAAGCACGAAGAUGAUGGGAAGACCACGAGUCUAUGGUGGUCGAUCCAUGAGUUGAUUAUGAGUAGCUUCAUGUUAUGAAGUAAAAAUGUUAGCUAAGUUAGUUGAGUGCUGUGUUUUAGGGCUGAGGGCUUAAUGAAACUAUAAGUUUUGAUGUUGAAUGAAAACGGUGUGUAUUGACGGUUUGUUACAACUGCUCGAGGAACAGCCCUAUAACAGACUUUGUAACUGCCAAUUCGCAGCCAUAAUAGAAACCGGCAUGGGAAAUGAGCAGAUAUGCAAUUUUGUGAAGGAAAUCAAUUCUUUCUUCUUCCUCGAUUCUCCUUCUCUUCUCUUUUUCUUUCUUCCUCUAUUCUGUUGAAAUUAUGCAUCACUUCACCAGCAUUCAUCAUUGUGGACGUAUCUGAUCUUCAGUCUCUGGUUUACUGCCCAUGUAAAGUUAUGGAAAGGAAUGCAAAUUUAAAAGGAUUUCUUGCUAUAGUCUAUGCAAUUUCAUGUGUGCGUGAAAGGAGAUGAAGAUUAAUAGAGUAAUACUGAUAUACCAACAAUUCAUUAAUUGAAGUACUAUCAAUAUUAUCAACAAGUAACAGAAUUAAGUGAGUAUACUAAUAUAGUCUAGAAUUAAGUGAGUAUACUAAUAUAGUCUAGAUUUAUAAUGAAAUACAAAAAUAUUUCAAAAAUUGUACUCAAAGAAAGUNNNNNNNNNNNNNNNNNNNNNNNNNNNNNNNNNNNNNNNNNNNNNNNNNNNNNNNNNNNNNNNNNNNNNNNNNNNNNNNNNNNNNNNNNNNNNNNNNNNNNNNNNNNNNNNNNNNNNNNNNNNNNNNNNNNNNNNNNNNNNNNNNNNUUUAAUAUCCAUGAUUGUAAUUAAUCUAGACUUAUUCUACCAAUUAAUCAAUUUAGUCCACUUAUCUUUCGACCUGGUGGAUCUAAAUGGGACAAUUGAAUUAGUUCUGGAUAAAAUCUCCUUUCAAUCUCAUCUACCUAAAUUUCCAUCUAGAGUCAUCAAUUUGAUCCAUUUAAUCAAUUCAAAACCUUAAAUUAAAUUAACUAUUCCCACAUCAAUUAAGCAACUUUCUUAAAAAUUUAGUUAAGACCCAUUCUAAUGAUAUCAGACCCACUUAAUCCGUAAACCAUCAAUAAAGUUAAUGAUAAGAACGAAUAGAGUUGAGGGAUGCUCAAUAAUUUGUGGAGAUCCUCAUAAUGAAAGCGUGAAAUAAAAAAUAAAUAUAUUUUUAUUAAAAUGAGUCAGAAGCGAGUGAAAUGAAAAAGAAAGGAAAACGGAUAAGGCUCCGAUUAAAGUUAUUUAAACAAGUAAAUAUAUUUUUAUCCAAAUUUAUAAUUUAUUAUAUUUAUCUGUAAUUCUCACUUUAAAAAAGCAUUCCAAAUAUGCUUCCUCACCUUAUCAUUUUUGCUUUUUUUCAAGCGCCCUUAUAAUUUUUGUUAAUCUUUCUUUUCCCUUAAUUAAAGCUUGAUGACUUAUAUUAUAUAUAUCCGUUUUAAAGAAAAUGUCACUGAACUAUUGCUUUCGUUUUGUUUUGGUUAUUAGAUUAUUAAUUUUUUUGAUUUAGUUACUAAAUUUUUCGAAAUCAAUUAUUUUGAUCACUUUCCCAUUAAUUGUCAUUAGAUAAGUGAGGAAAAUUACUUUCUCAUUAAUUGUCAUUAGAUAAGUGAGGAAAAGCUAACACAGAUUUGUUUUAUUGUUCAAAUUAAUCCUUAUAUAUUAAAUAAAAAUUCAAUUUAAUCCUUGAAUUAAACUAAAAAUUCAAAUAAACUCAGAAUACCACAACUUUUUAUUAUAUAUAUUUCUUUUUCCAAAUAAUAAAUUUAAAUUUAUUAUGAUUAUCACAACUUUUAUUUCAAUGUAACUACUAUCAUAUAUUUUCACUUUUUAAAUUGAUUAUAAAUAUUAUUUAAAUAUUAAUUUAAUAAUAUGAUAAAAAAAUAAAGGAUAUUUUUAUCUGUUCAAUUUUUUUUAAACUUAUGCUUUUAUAGAUAUUAUAGAUUAUAGGAAUAGGGUCUAAUGGCCAAAAAGAAAAAUUAUGUACCGUCUAUGUGAAGGCAUUAUAAAAGGGAUCAUCAGAGUAUAAUGAUUAGUAUUAGGUAAAGUGAAAGUGAAUUGAUUAAGUCCUCCAAUCAUUUUACUUUUAAAUAAAAAAAAAUUAAACAAAAAAACUCUACUUUUGUUCUACCUACCUUUCUGUUUGUGUUCUCAUUCUAUUAAUUAAGUACUGCUUCUUGCAAUUGUUUUCCCAGCAAGAUUGCGGCACACACAUCUUGAAAUCCAAAUUCAAGAUUUUAAAGAAUUUUCUUAGCUCGAUCACUUUUAUGGCUUUUUCUGCUGUUGCAUCUGCAGUGCAACAAUUGGCAACCUGCUAACUGAGGAAGCCAUAUACCGAUGGGGCGUGGAGGAGCAAGUUGAUCGUCUGCAAACAGAGCUCAAUUGGAUGCAAAGAUACUUAAUGGACGCAGAGACAAAACAAUCAAAGGAUGAAAGGAUUCGUCUUUGGGUUGCUGAAAUCAAGGAUUAGGAAGGUACGAAACACCUCCACUUUAAUUUCCUUCUGCUUAAAUUAGAUGUUUUAAGUUAAUUUUUAGUUUUGAACAUGUUAAAUUGCAGGAUAAUGAGACGCCACUGACCUUUAUUCGGAUGUAGCAUUGCAUUUACAUGUUUGGUUUGCAGUGACCAUUCAUAAAUUUUGCUGUGACUACCCUGUUGCUAGUUCUUUUUUCCUACUUCGAUCUGCUCAAGUCUUUUAUGAUAUAAUUAAAUGUAAAAAUAUGUAAUAGUAGAAGCCAAGACAGGAUAUUGUAAAAUUGAUCAUUUUGUUUUUAAUGACCAUUUGUUCUCAUCUUUUUUCAUUUUUCAUAAAUGUGUCCAAUAUAUAUUUAUUGAAUAUAUUUAUGCUGGACACAUAUCCUAAUGUGGUACACUAAAUCUGAGUCAUAUUGUGCAAUAUUGGUGAAUUACUAGUUGGUGCAGAAUCAUAUACAUCGAUGUUCUGUCAUUUGUUGAAGAUAAAAGAUCCAAAGCCUCCAUUAUUAAAAUGAAAAAAAGAAAGAAAAUUGGAUAUUCGUUUCUUUCUAGAUUUAGAAUAUAGAUAUUUGUAAUAUUGAGAUGAUAAACGAUUAAUAAAUGGAUUAAAUAGGAUCUAAUGUCUAAUUACAAUCCAAGAGGAACAGGCUCCUGCCGCCAUAAAAAAUUCCAUAAUUACUUAUUUUAUUGUAUUUUUUGAUAACACAUUGAUUAUUGCAUGGAACAUUGGUUAAGAACAAAAUAGGAACCAAGAACAAACAAUGUCUUCAAACAUAUUAAAAUGACAGCUCCAAAUCCUUACUUCAAUUAUUGUUGUGUUGGGUUUAUUUUGGAUUAGCUAAUGGAAAUAAUUGAAGCUCAGCAUGACAGCAAAUCAGGUUCUUUUUCUUCUUCCUCUGUCCUUUCUCUCUAUUUAGAUACAUGUUCAUUUCGUGUUUAUUGCAGAUGUUGUCUGAAUGAUUUCUAUGAAUAUUAAUGGCAGCAAAGCUGAAACCGUAAAAUAAUGAUCCAGUAAAGUUGGUGUUUCAGUUUCUAUUUAAAUCGCAAACAACUUCCCUAUUAAUCAAACAAAUGCUCUAAACUUGAAUGUCAUGAACAUGUCAAAAAUCAUACCUUGUAGUCAUGUAUGAAUGUGAGGAAAAGUGAAGAACAGAGAACCACAGGCCACACCUGUCAUCAAUGUGUUAUAACAACAUCCUUAACAUCAUAAGCAAGCUCUUUAAUAACAAUGAAAAUUAACCAUAAAACAAAAUUGAAGGGAACUUUAAAAUAUUUUUUAAUAAUAACUUGGGAAGUACUUUAAAUGUGAAAAUUGGGUGUUUACCCAAAUGAUGAAUGGAUGUCUCCUAGGUAAAACUCCCACAAUCUAAUGGUUACAAAUUAUAUAAGUGUACAAUCGGAUUGUGGUUUCUAGAAUGUUUUAUAAACUAAUAAAUUAAAAAUUAUUUGGUGAAUUAAUAAAAUAUAAGUGUUCAAUAUAAUUGUAUAAUUAAUAUUUUUGGGUUCAUCUAUUUUUACUAUGUGCUUUUUUAAAAAAAAAAAAUUUUGGUUUAACUAUUUUUACAUUUCUUUUAUUUACUGAAAUUCAUUUUUAAUUUUCACUAUUCUUUUAAAUUUAUUUUUAAUUUUUUAUACAAAUAAUAGAAUCGAUAUGAAAAUGAAAGAGUUAAGGAAAAACAUAGUUAAACAUUGUGCAAGGCUUCCAUUAGCCAUUAUUGUAUUGGGAGGAAUUUUAAUGUGUUAACUUUAAGUUUCGAUAAUUUAUCUCUCUAUCUAAGACCAUGUUUCCUCUAUUUAAGUAUACAUAUUUUUUUAAAAUAUAUUUUCAAUUUUUUGGAAAAUAUAUAUUUUUAAUAUUUUUAGUAUUUUUGAUGUAUUUUUUUAAAAUUUAUAUGAACCGGACCGCGUUUUAACAUUUUUAUCCGGACCGAACUUAGAAAAAAUUUUAGAUCCAUUUUUUAUGCCAAACCCAAGUCUAACAAAUGGACCUAAAAUUUUAAUUAGGCACGGCUAUGAACACCUCUAAUUAUUUGUAGCUAAAAUUCCCUGUAAGUUCAAUACAAUUUACUAAAAAUUUCAGUUGAUUUACUUGUUAUAUUCAUCACCUAAAUAAAUCAACAAAUAAAUGACGAAUUAUCCCUCUAAGCUGCAAUAUGAACCUUCCAUCAAUUGUCUCUAGGUUCAGUCAUUUUAUUACAUAAGUAUUCUUAAUUAAAAAAAUAAGGAAAAAAUGUAAUUUAUUCUAAUUAAUUAUUGAGCAAAAAUAAAUAAAAGAAAUUGUUAGAGCCUCAGUUUGUUCUUCAAUUAAAAUAAAAUAAAAUAAAUAAGGAUAAUAAUUUUUAAAAAUAAAUAAAAAUUAAAACAUGAGAAAAUCAAUAUACAUUUUUUAUACUCACUAGUUUUGUUGUCAAGAACUGAAAAGCACUUCAAUUCCUUGUAUCCGAAUACAUAUCCUUUUAAAAUUUAUCGAAAAAUAUUUAUUUUAAUGUAACUUAAAAGAUAACAGCCUGGAUUUGAUUAUCAAAUUAAAAAUUCAAAUAAGUUUACAAUAUUAUCAAUUUUUUUUAAUUUAUAUAUAUAUUUCCAAAUAAUAAAUUUAAAUUUAUUAUGAUAAUUACACCUUUUAUUUUAGUAUAACUAUCAUGAUAUAUUUUUUUCCAAUUUUUUUAAAAAUUUAUUAUAAUUAUUUGUAAAUAUUAAUUUAAUAAUACCAAGAAAAAUAAAAGAUAUUUUUGUAAAUAUAUAUUUUUUUAAAUUGGUACUUUUAUAUAUAUAAUAUGGAUAGAUUAUAAAUAUACAUUGUACAUGGUGGCAAAAAAAAAUGUUUAUAGGGUAUAUGUAAAGGCCAUAUACUAUGGAUCAUCAAAGUAUAAAGAUUAGUAUUAGAUAAAGUGGAAGUGAGUUGAUUAAGUCCUCCACUCAUUUACCUACGUACUCUUCCUUUUUUCUAAUUAAAUAAGACUGAUUAGAUACUUUUAAAUAAAAUACUUUCCUAGUCUUCCUUUUUUUUUUCCCACUUUUAUUUAGUGUUAGAUAAAGUGGAAGUGAGUUGAUUAAGUCCUCCACUCAUUUUCCUACUCUUCCUUUUUUCUAAUUAAAUAAGACUGACUCUAUACUUUUAAAUAAAAUACUUUCCUAGUCUUCCUUUUUUUUUUCCCCACUUUUAUUUAGUGUUAGAUAAAGUGGAACUGAGUUGAUUAAGUCCUCCACUCAUUUUCCUACUCUUCCUUUUUUUUCUAAUUAAGUAAGACUGACUAUAUACUUUUAAAUAAAAUACUUUCCUAGCCUUCCUUUUUUCCAAUUUUAUAAUCAGCAGAUCAAGAAAGAAGUAUUGAUUUUGGGAAAUUUGUUAGUUUAGUGUUCCUUUUCACUAUUUUUAAAAAGUAUUGUAAAAAUGGUAAUUUUGAGGAGUACUUUUAGAAAGUUUAGUUUAAGAUUUAAGUAUUUAGUAUUACUGUAAAAAAAUACUUUUGAUAAAUAAAAUAUCUAUUUUAGAUAUUAUGUUAUAAAGUAAAAAAUAUGUAUUUAAAUAAUGUUUAAAUUAGUUAAUAUUAUGAUAUCUUAGUAAGAAUAUAAAAAUAAUUUAUUAUAAUUUGUUGUUAAUAUUUUAAUAUAUGAAAUAUAAAUUUUAAUUUUUUUAAGUAACUAAUAUUAAUUAUUCAUAAAAUCUAAUUCGAAUAUAUAAACAAUAUUUUAAAUAAUAAAAUAUGAUCAAUAAAAAUUUAAAUAUAUAUCACAACUUUUUUAUUUUAUAUAUAUUUCUUUUUUCAAAUAAUAAAUUUAAAUUUAUUAUGAUUAUCACAACUUUUGUGUCAAUAUAACUACAAUCAUAUAUUUUCACUUUUUAAAUUGAUUAUAAUUGUUUUUUAAAUGUUAAUUUAGUAAUAUGGUAAAAAAUAAAUGAUAUUUUUAUCAGUUUAAAUUUUUUUUAAAAAUUAUGUACUGUCUAUGUGAAGGCAUUGUACAAGGGAUCAUCAAAGUAUAAAGAUUUGUAUUAGGUAAAGUGAAAGUGAGUUGAUCAAGUCCUCCACUCAUUUUACUUUUAAAUUAAAAAAAUUUUAAACAAAUAAACUCUACUUUUGUUCUACCUACCUUUCUGUUUGUAUUCUCAUUCCAUUAAAUAAGAACUGCUUCCUUCAAUUGUUUUCCCAGCAAGAUUUCUGCACUCGCAUCUUGAAAUCCAAAUUCAAGAUUUUAAAGAAAUUUCUGAGCUCACUCACUAUUAUGGCUUGGUCUGCUGUGACAUCUGCAGUGAUAAAUAUUGGCAAGCUGCUAACUGAGGAAGCCAUAUACCUAUGGGGUGUGGAGGAGGAAGUUGAUCGUCUGCAAACAGAGCUCAAAUGGAUGCAAAGAUACUUAACGGACGCAGAGACAAAACAAUCAAAGGAAGAGAUGAUUCGUCUUUGGGUUGCUGAAAUCAGAGAGCUUGCUUAUGAUGCUGAGGAUGUUGUCGAGGAAUUUGCUCUCAAGAUUGGAUCCGAAAACAAAGGAUGUCUUCCGAGUUGUAUUAAAACAUCAGCCUGCUGUUUGAAAGAGGGAUGGGCACUCCACAAAACCAGGUCAAAAAUCGAGAAAAUCAUAGAAAGAAUCAACGACUUGGUCCGACGACUACAGGCCUACGGAGUAAAGGAAUUAAAGGACAGAGAAGAAGAAUCAAGUUCUUCAACUGAAAGACGAGAAUCAAGGCGGCCUUAUCCACAUAUUAUGGAUGAUAAUAUUGUUGGACUAGUUGAUGAUACCGAGGGAUUGGUCAAAGUUCUUACGAACGAAAGUCGAUGCCAGGUUGUUACAAUAUGGGGCAUGGGUGGUCUGGGAAAGACCACUCUCGCCAAGAAAAUAUAUCACGAUCCUCAGGUUAGAAAUUAUUUCGAGCACUUCGCUUUUGUAUACGUUUCUCAACCAUGCCAGAAAAGAAAAGUUUGGGAAGACAUUCUAUCUGGUUUCAAAACUUUAAAGGACGAGGAUAGGAAGAAAAGAGAUGAAGACUUAGCAGAGAAGUUGUGUAACAUUUUGGAGGUUAAAGAGUGUCUGGUGAUACUUGAUGAUGUUUGGACCAGAGAAGCUUGGGAUAGUCUAAAACCUGCCUUUCCAGUUGCAACGGGCCGUCAUCGCAAAAGCAAGAUAUUGCUCACCUCUAGAAACAGGGGGAUAGUUUCGGAUGCUGAGAUAAGAGGUAAAAUUUUCUUAAUUAGGUAAAAUUGAAUACUCUUAUUCCUUUUAUGGAAAAUAACUAUGUAUAUUAUUUCAGAGUUGAAGUGCCUAAACGAUCAACAAAGUUGGGAAUUGCUUCAAAAGAUUGUAUCUCCUAAAACAGGUAAAUAUACGUAUAGCAAAAUUCUUGUUAUAUGCUAAAUUUAUUUUUCAUUUUUAAAUUUUUUUGACAGUAAUUGAAAUUAAAAAUAUAUAAAAUCUAUUUUAUUUCAAAAUUUCAAAACCUUAAUAUCAAAUAAAUAAAAGAAAUCAAGCCUUUGUAGUUUAUCAAUUAAUGGUACACGCACCUAAAUAUAAUUAAUAGGUAAAUUCAUUAUCUUUAUUAUUAUAAUUUUUUAAUAACUUUGCUAUUAUUUACGGGGAAUAAAUUACAUUAGGAUUAUCUUAAAAGAUAUAGUUUUUAGGCACCAAUAAAAUAGUGUCACAUCGUUAAAUUUUUAAGAUAACAAAGAAUUAUUAUACACUCAUUUAUAUUUAAUAUUUUCUCCAAUUUAAUUUAACUUUAAUAAAAUUAUUUAAAAUAAUUAAUUUUUUAAAUUAUAAACAAACAUCUUUUCUUCUUUUACAAAUUUUAAUCAUUUUGUUUUUUCAUAAGUUAAUGUUUUUUAUUUUUGUGCAACCAAUUUUUUUUUAAAAAAACAGUAAUUUUUGUGCAAUGUUUUUCAUAUCAUUAACACAUAAUUUUGAUAAUUAUUUUAUCCUGAAGCCAAAACUCCGAACCUUGAACUCGAACCCUGAACCUAAAUCUUGAACCCUGAAUCUUGCAGUUAAAGGUUUGGUUUCUAGAUUUAAAGUUCAAAAUUCGAGGUUCAAGUUUAAAGUUUAAGGGUUCAGGGUUAUGGGUUACGAAUUUAGGAUUCAUGGUUUAAGGGUUUGGGGUAGCGAGUUUGGGGUUUUAUAUGUUUGUUUAGUUUCUUAAGCACUUUCAUGCUAUUCUUUUAUAUGUUUUUUUUUCUUAAGAAAUACAAAUUGAUUUUAUAAUUUAAAUUCAGGACUCAAACAUCACUUAAUUAAAAUAAUAAUUAAUCAAUUCUCGUUUUUUUUUUUGCCACAAAAACAUUCAUUCCAGAAAGAAUAACCAGACAUAGGAAGUCUAAAACACUAAACCAGAUAAACUAACAUGAAAAAAGCACAGUAUUCACUAAGCUUAUCCUGGAUCCUUGCAUCAGAAAGAUGGAGGCGCAGGUAAACCAUUCUUAUUAAGAGUAAAGCCAAGAAAGAUGGUAGUUGAUUCGAACAACCAACACAUCUCUUUACGACCCUAUUUAGCAAACCAAUCCGCUAACUUAUUGGCUUCUCGUCUAAUAACAUUGACUUUCAAAGAAGAAAGUUGCAUGACCAGCUUAUCAAAAACCUGAAGGACUAGCCUUAAUCUCCAUCUUCGAUCUUGACUCUUCUCAAUAUUCGAAAAAAUAGUCUGGGAGUCAGUCUUGAUUGUCACAUUGCUCCACUUGUUCUUCAUAGCUAAUUCAAUCCAUCCAACCAUAGCUUUAGCCUCGACAACCUGACAUGAAUCCACUUAAUCCUUUUACCAAUCCCAUCCAGCAUCUUCCCACUUAAAUUUCUGCCUAUUACUCUAAUACCAGCACAAGCUAUCAAGGUGUCAAAUGCCCCAUCACAAUUUAACUUUAACCCAACCUUCUGGUGGUUUCUCCCAAAUAUCAGCACAAGUUUUUGACUUCCUAGUUCGAUCAGAGUUAUUGUUUGAACAGAGGAUCCAUUGAGCAGAUAAGAAUUCAUUCAUGGAGCAAUUAAUCCUUCGAAUAAUUCUCUCCAAACCAAGUUUCACACCUCCAAUUGUAACCUCACACCUAGCUUUGCAGAUGUGCUAGCAAGUGAAAACAAUUCUAACUUUGAAAUCCUCCCUCAUACAAGGCAUUUGUAACAACUUUGAGAACCAUCUGUCAAAUGAUUGAGUUUGAUCAUUUAUCCCUUGAAGACCAAAACAAGCCUCAUACUAUAUUCCCCUAAGAAUAAUAUGUUCAAAGUCUCAUCUUUUCCACGGAUUAAAAUGAGAUGGAAUAGCAUUAUGACACAAUUUCCAUAAGAAAAUUUUAACUUUGUUCGGUACCUGUAAGCUCCAAAUAGCUUUCCAAGUGCUCCUAUCAAUUAAGUGAGAGCUGGAAGGUUGUAAAGAAGACUCAUUUCCAUAGUGCUUUCUCAACUCCUUGUACCCUGACUUCAUCGGAUAUUGACCAACAGCUGUAAACGGCCAUACCAAUUUAUCUUGUUCAUUUGUUUCGUGAAGGGGAACUUUUAAUUUCGCAAUUUCAAUAUCUUCUAACCACAUUGAGAUACUGGGUAAGUCCCAAUUUAGUUGUUCUAAACAAAUGAUCUCAGCAACUCGUGUUGGUGAGGAUCUGUCAAUAUUUCCAGGAUGCUUUAAUUCCCUAUCUUUAACUCCCAGCAAUCAUCUAUCUUCCCAAAUGCAGAUGCUUUCGCCAUUUUGCACUUGCCAAAUCAAAGUCUUCUUUUAAAAACUCUUUCCCUUCAAGAAUGCUACUCCACACCCAUGAUGACCUAGCUCCUUUUUUAGCUUCAAGGAAAUUAGAAUUCGGGAAAUAAAGUCCUUUUAAAAUCCUACCCCAAAGAGCAUCAGGAUCCUGGACUAACUGUCAAGAUUGUUUUGCAAGUAGAGCAAGGCCUCCAAGCUUUUCAAUGAAUACGUCUCUCAUUUUCCUUCUGCUGAAUUCAUUUCCACGCAUAAGUUUUUAGGAAGUUCGAAAAGAUAUCGUAUACAUUGAAGCGCAUGCUACUGCUUUAAUAAGAACCUCCCUUCCCCUUCAAGAUAACGUUUGCUGCUUCCAGCCCUAAAGUUUGGU
rnacentral:lncRNA from 1 species